rnacentral:lncRNA from 1 species
AAACUUCUACCCUCAUUCAGAACUCUCAGUCUUUUAGCAUUUCAGAAAUGGCUCAUCACCAUGAACCAUCCAUUCUGUUGCCUCUGCUGCUCAUCACUCUGUCCCUAAUGAGUGGCAAAGAAGUUCUCGCAUCUCGUCACCUUCUCGAAACCACAUUGUCUACGGUUCCUGAGCUUCAUAAGGUGGAAUUGCCACCUCUUCCUACACUCCCUACUUUGCCUAAAUUUGAACUGCCACCUCUUCCCAAGGUUGAGAUUCCAUCUCUGCCUCAUGUCCCAACUCUACAAGAGCCCCAGCUGCCGACUUUGCCCAAGCCUGAAUUGCCAACCGUUCCACAUGUCCCAGCUUUGGAGAAGCCUGAACUGCCAGAAUUGCCUAGUCUGCCCCAUCUACCUGACCUGCCUAAGCUCACACUACCUACCAUCCCAACCCUUCCAAAGGACAUACCCUUCCCUUCUCUUUCCCCACCCCACUCAACCACUAGCCCUUGAGCUUUUCCCGUGCUGAGUUUCAUAUCAUCAUCGCAGUCUUAUUAGAUUUUCGGAUGCAGUAGAGAUUGAUAUGGGAAGGAAUCCUUAAAAUCCAGGGUUGCACUCUGGUUCAUAUGUGUGUGGAUUGGUGCUGAUAGUUGUGUGGAGUCUGUUUUCGUUUAUAGUUUUCUGUUGGCAUGUACUGAUUUGUGAUUGUGGUUGAUUUUUGAGGGGGUGUCUGAUGUGUGAAAAUGGGUUCUGUUUGAAGUUACUUGUAUACUCUCAUGGUUAUUAAUUAUUUAUGGUUCCUGUUUUCUCGCAAAUACCUUUUGAAGUGGAAGUAAAAGUACAAACAACAAUCUAGCCGCUGAUUAGAUGUUCAUAAUAUCCAGAACAAUAUUGAGUUAAUGGAGCAGUUUGCAACAGCCCACAGUGUGUUUGGGUAUCCCAUCACCCAAUUGUUGCCAUGAAAGGGUGGCAUAAACCAUUCAAUGAUAAUAAAGCCCUGAUGACUAUCUUGUGAAAAUAAUAGUAUAAUAAUAAUUAAUAAGAAUUAUCACAAUUAUUUCAUUUCAAAACCAGCAGCUUAUUAAUGGGGUGCAGCCACUGCUUAAUUAUCUACCUCAGAACUUGGUAAAAGGUUUGGUGGUGCUAAACUUUUACGCUAUGUUUGGUUCCGAAAAAUUCAAGGGAAAAUGUGAGGGAAAAAAAAUAAAGAAGAAAAAUGGAAGAAAAUAAAAAAGAAAAUAAAAAAUAGAUUUAAAAUCAAUAAAUUAUUUAUAUAUAUUUCUUUCAACUCAUUUCACUUAGUUUCAUCUAUUAUAUAAAAAUUAAAUAAUUUUAAAGUAUACAAAUUUCUAACUAAUUUUAAUUAUAUUUAAUUCUUUAAAAAAAUUUUAUGGUAAAACCAAACAUGAGAAAACAAUUUUCUUUAACAUUUUUUUCAUUUCCUUAAUACUUUCCUGAAACCAAACAAAGCCUUAGAGAAUUAACUUUCAUUUCUCUUUCAAGAAACACACAAAAGCCUAAAAUUAUGCAUCCUGGAGAAGAAUGUGCAUUGGAAUUUGGAACUAUCCGCUGGAAAAUUUUUUUGUUAACGAGAUAUUUUGGGUGAUGUGCAGUUGCUGACAUUGUUAUGGAGGAACAAGAACUUAUCAGUUGAAAUCCUAAUCGGGUUCAUGAUCGUCUGGUUUCUUUUCGAAGUUUUAGAGUACCCUUUUAUUACCCUUCUCUGUGUUACAGCAUGAUCUUCCUGAUGCUUGCAAUUUUCAUUUGGUCUGAUGGGGCAGGAUUCAUAAAUUGGUAAUGUUUUGGUCCUAGGCAUGCCAGAUGACCACAGAUCACCUCUCUAACAUCUAUUCUAAAUCCUAGGCUCCUUUUUCUCUUCUUACAAACAGACUUGACUAGCCACUUUGGUUAUAUCAGGUCAGAAAAUUCAGGGCAUUUUUGGUCCUUAAGCAGAAUCCAGGUAAUCUGUUAGUUAUGUUACUAUGAAAAACAGAACACAUAUCACAACAGAAAUUCAUCCCCAUACCUUGAUUUAGAAAAUUUGCUCAUUCCCUUUAAGGGCGUGUUGCUGAACCUCCAUAUAUAAAUCUUUAGUCCUUACUCAUUGGAGACACCAAAUUCCACAACCUCCAUCCAGUAUCCCCCAGCACAGACAAUGGAAGCACAUUUGCUAGACAUCGAGAAAGAAGGCCAAAUAAAACAAGCAAGAGAAUAAAUAACUUGUGAAAUUUUCAUCUUCAGAAGAUUAAAUAAGCAAGAAAAUCACAUAAGACAUAGAUAAACAUCCAAAAAUGGGUUCUCUAAUGGCUUUUUUUUUCUCUCUCUCUCCUCCAAAAUCAGCCAUCAAUCCUAGUGAUCAAACUCACCACUCCACCAAAGCAAUUGCAGAAACACCUAGCUACAUGAUUCCAGAACAUGGUUCAAAGUCACGGUAUCGGUCACUGACUUGGAGGGUCCCGAGAUGUAUCGGUCUCGGUGUAUUGGCUUGGUAUCAGACGAUAUGUAAAAUAAGCUAAUUAGAAAAUUAAAAAAAAUUAUAAAAAUAUUAUAUAAAUCAUCAGAAAAAUAUAUACAAUUAAAUAACCUCAAAAAAAUUAAUACAAUAAAAUUGUCACACAGUUAACAUUAUUUCAAUAGUUACAAAAGUAUCCACUCAAAGUUAUUUAAGAUAAUGCUAAUAAAAGAAAAUUAUUUUAUUUCAAACAUAAUAACAUUUUUACUAACAAACAUACAAUGCAAUAAUCAAUUUCAUGUUGAAUGAUGAGGGGGUUCAAAAUCAUCAUCAUCAGUCUUACGACGAGUAUACAAAUUGGGAUGGUAAUUCCAAUAGUGAGGAUAUGGUUGAAAGAGUUGUUCAUAACUCGAAUAUCUUAGCUAAGCCGAUUGGCUUGAUGAUCCAUAAUCAAGAAAAUAUGGUUUCGAAGGUUGUUCGGGAUCAACACCAUAUUAAUAGUAUCCAAAACCUUGAUAGGCAAUGCUACUACUACUAGAAGAUUAAUCAUAUCCAUAAGAAUCAUAAGCUCAUGUUCCAGUAUUUGAAUAUCCCUCUGAAUGCAUCAUUGGAAAUCGAUCAAACUCAUUUCUACUAAAAGUACUAGAAGAGCUAUCAUGGUCUUUAAAGUUGUGAUAUGAUCUAUCAUCUACUUCUUUGAAAUACUACCUUGAUCCUAUACUGAUUCGCAGAUGUAAAUCCAGUCGGGUCAUUUAAUAAAAAACAUUUAUAAAACCUAUGACCUCAUACUAGUGUAGCAAAGCUACUAUAGUAUAGUGGCUCUAGGGUCGAACUCUGGGAUGGGUUUUCAUUCUACCAGUGAUAUACUCAUGAUUAGGAAUUGAAUUUAAUGAUUUCCUUUAUAAAAAACUUAGAGUUUAAAAGAAAAUAAAAUUUGUUUUGAAAGUGUUUGAAACUAAAUUAACAUAAACUAAUUAAAAAUGGAAGAAAGAAAGUCUCUCGGAGCUUAGGAUUGCUAGGAUCAAGUUUAGAAUGCAAAGUGGAAAAUUUCGGAUUUUUCUCCUCGCAUUGGGGAUUUAACCUAUAGUUAUUUCCCGAACCGGUAUAGGUUUAACAAUGAAGAUUUAAUCCAUAAAAAUCAAUAGAAAUGGUAGUAAAGGUCCAUUAAUGGCUUUAAACACUAUGGGUCUUCACCUUGAACCACUUUCCAAUGGCUCGUACAUGAUAACUAAUGGACUGAUAUGGAUCUAGCAAUAAGCAUCCACAGAGACCUGAAGCUUACCAUGUAUUGGUCAUUCAAAGUGAUUCUAAGGGAUUUAAAGCAAAACUUUGGAUUUAAAAGCCAUUUAUGAACUUCAACUACCUGUAUUUAAGGCACGAGCGUUUUCCACCUUGCAUCUGGACUUUUCACCUAGCUUCCAUCACUCCAAGAAACUAAAAUUUUAGCCUCUCAUCCUCUGAGAAAACAUCCUCAGAGGUUGUUUGGUUUCCAAGAAAAAGAAAAUAGUAAAGAGAAAAGGGAAAACGAGAGAGCUCUGUAUAUUUUUCUAAGUGUAAAACAUAACACGCGUGAUACCUCCAAGAGGUGAUUUCCACCCUUUAUAUAGUUUUUACAAAAGCAAAGCUUGUGAUUGGCUUGUUACAAGGAGAAGAAAGGAAAUUACAUCAAAAAAUACAAAAGAAAAUAUCUAAAGUGGAGUCGGCAAAAACAGAGGAAAAUUCGCACCACGCAUGGGGUGUGCGAAUUUUCGCACACCUGAGGGGAGUGUGCGAGUUUCGCACACCAUUCGCACACCAUUUGCACAGCUAAGGGGGCGUGCGAAUCUCGCACACCAUUCGCACACUAUUCACACACCUGGAUCAGUUGUCUUCCGAAGGCCAUAUCUUCCUCGUUUCAGCUCCAAAUCGUACACGGUUUGAAGCGUUGGAUUUUUGACUUCCUGAGCUUUGAAAUGGUAUAUAGCAUGUAAAAAAUGGACUUCGGGAAGUGCUCCAAAAGUGCCAAAGAAGACUGCAGCUGCUGUCCUCUGUUUUCCUCCUUGCUUCUCUUUGCUUCUCUUUGGUUUUCUUUGCUUUUCUCCUUUGGAUGGCUUGUCUUAAUGAUCUAAAAAGAUGUCAAAAACACUAAAACUAGCCACAAAUAUGAUUAGGAGUCAUUGCUAGGUCCUUAACAUGCCAAUUGGAAUAAAGAUGAAGAAUUAUUACACAAAAGUGCUUAAAACAUAAUGACUUAAAGGUGUAAAAUAGCACUUUUUGGGUAGUAAUCAUAUACCCAAAUUCUGUAAGUGCUUAUCAAUACAGUGAUAAUUUGAUCUAUGAUAAUCAUGCCCACUAGAGUAAUCAUCAUCGCUGGGAAAUGUAGUUAGUCUUUCCAAAUGCUUUCGUUAUUCCCAUAUCCUUAGUCAAUAUCCAUGAUCUGUAUCUUGUGUGGCAUAAUAAUUUUCAUCUCCUUGUGCCCAUGACAUGCUAGGAUCUACUUGACUAACAUAACUUCCACCAUCACUACCAUCUCCUCCAGUACCCUCACCAAUGCCACUAAGUCCUUUACUGCACCUACUAGUGUCACCACCCCGCCUACUGCCCCCAUUGUUACCAUCAUCACUACUAGAACUUGAAGAAAUUGUUCUAGGAACCUUACCUUUAUGAUGGGAAUCAAUAUCUCUUUCUUGUGUAGCAUUGCUUGUAUGCCUACUAACUCUACGAUUUGUACCUUCUUCAUAAGGAGGAAGACCUUUAUCCAACUAAUCCAAAUUAUCAGAUGAUAAAAUAGGCUCAUUUCUUUAUCGUAUCCACUCAUCUAAUAUAUCAUCAUCAUUAAAGAUAUGAUUCAGAUAAGUUGGAUUGUAUAAAUCUUCAUUGUUUCGCUCUUGCAUCAAAUUCUUAACUCGGAGUCGCAUAUUGUAGUGCACAUAAACUAACUUAUGCAGCUUUUUCAUUGCCAAAUGGUUGCACAACUUUGUGUGAAUCAAUGACUAUGUGCUCCAAUUUCUUUCACAACCUGAUGAAGAACAAGUUUGGCUUAAAAUUUUGACAACAAUCUUUUGUAGAUGUGGGCCUUCGUCGUAAUAGUUGUUCCACCAUUCAGCUAUAAUAAAGAAAAUGCAUACUUAUUAAUCACUAUAAUAUAUUUAACAAAAAAUGAUGAUAAUUUCUUAUUUGUAAUAAACAUAAAUGUAUUGAGUACCUAGAAGAGAUUGAUUUAUUGCUUUCUUUAUAAGUGCACUUCCAAAUUUUCCUUGGUCCUCAACAAAUAAUUUCACCUACAUCAUUAACAUUUUUUUUUUUUGUUUUUUGUUAAGGCACAUUACAUAUACAAAAUGUAUUAUAUAAAGGUCACAAAUUAUUAUUAUACCUCAGUAAUAGUUUUUGCUUGUCUAUCCAAAUCUGACUCUAAUCUCUUGAUAAGUGGAAAGAUGUCCACGUGUAUCGGUAGAAAUGUCACAUAGUGUUAGACAACAUAUGUCUGAUACUUCAAAAGAAAAGGCACAGUUAAAGAAAAAAAAAUGAACAACUUUUGAGUUCCUUAAAUAAAGAAAAUUUCUAUGAAAUUGAUAAGGGUGAUUCUGAUGAUGAAAUUGAGGAAGUUGCUAUGGUUGAUUUUGAAAGAAGACAAAUGAAACAAGCAAUGAAAGAAAGUCGUCCAAUUUUUUAAAAAGGUAGACAAGAGCAUCAGAAGGAUGGUUGUUCCUCACAACUUUCUAAUGCUAGGAUUAAACGCGAAUUGACACGUAGCUUCAGUGUAAGAGAAGGAGCUAGCAUACUUCCAAAAGGAAUUGAUCCCUACAUGUUCCCAUCAAAGCAAAAAUCAAUAAAAAGUUUGUUUUUUUUUACUAAAGAUGUGAAGAAAGUGGGUAAAGCUAUUUCUAAAUUCAUUCUCUUUAAUGUAAUACCCUUUAAUGCAAUUGACAGUGGGCCUUACUAUCAAUCAAUGAUUGAUACCAUAGUAGAAGCAGGUCCAAGCAUCAAGGGUCCCAUCGGAUACCAAAUUGGAAAUACAUAUUUGGAAGAGGAGGUGCAAGAGCUUGAGGUAUAUAUAACAACAUUGAAGGUUAAAUGGUCUAUAUGUGGGUGCACAAUCAUGUGUGAUGGUUGGAGUUCUAGGACUAGAAAGCCUAUCUUCAAUUUCAUGAUUUAUUGUGAUAGAAGUAUGAUACACCAUUCUUCAGUUAACACUACCAACAUACCUAAGACAGCAAACUACAUCUUUUCCCUUAUGGAUAAAGUUGUAGAGGAGGUUGGGGGGGAAAAUGUUGUUCAAGUAGUCACUGAUAAUGAGGCAAGUUUUAAAGCAGCCAAUAUGUUGUUGAUGGAGAAGUGGAAGCAUUUGUUUUGGCCUCCUUGUGCAACCCACUGUAUUGAUUUAAUGCUUAAAGAUAUUGCAAGCAUGAAGCAGAUUAAGGAGACAUUAGAUUAAGCUAAGAUGAUCACAGGAUUUAUUUGUAAUAGCUUGAAAGUAGUGAAUUUGAUGAAAAUGUUCACCAAGGAUAGAUGUUAAAGCCAGGAAUAACCCGUUUUGCCACUGAAUUCAUUUCACUUGAGAGUUUUAUACGUUAUGAGGCUGAUUUAAAGAGAAUGUGCACAACAAAUGAGUAGUGUGAAUUCAAUAAAGAUAGGAGUAGAAAAAGUCUAAGAGAUAAGGUAACCAACCUUGUCUUAACUUAUCUAUUUUGGAAGAAAACAGGGGAAGUUCAAACUAUCAUGGAACCUCUCAUCAAAGUAUUGAAAUUGGUUGAUCAAGAUAAAAAGCCCACACUAUCAAUCAUUUAUGAAGCAAUGGAUAGAGCUAAAUUGGCUAUCAAGGAAUCGGUUAAGCAAUGAGAAAAGUAUUAGGAAGUCAUUGAUAGAAGGUGGGAAGGUCAAUUGCACAGACAUUUGCAUGCUGCAGGUAAUAAAAAGAUUCUUUAUAUAUUUUUUUAUUAUUUUUUUCAAGUACAAAUUAUUAUAAAUUGAUUAUUAUUUAACUUAUAGCAACAUAAUUUUUAAAUCCAAUGUUCUAAUAUUCAAAACAUUUCUCCAACCAUCCAAAAAUUAAAGUUGGAUUAAAGGAGGUUAUCAAGAUAUUAAAGCCAUAUUUGGAUAGACAAAAAAAACUAUUAACGAGGUAUAAUAAUAGUUUGUGACCUUUAUAUAAUACAUUUUGUAUAUGUAAUGUGCAUUAACAAAGAAAAAUGUGAAUGAUGUAGGUGAAAUUAUUUGUUGACGACCGAGGAGAAUUUGGAAGUGCACUUACAAAGAAAACAAUAAAUCAAUAUCUUCUAGGUAAUCAAUACAUUUACAUAUAUUAAAAAUAAGAAAUUAUCAUCAUUUUUUGUUAAAUAUAUCAUAGUGAUUAAUAAGUAUGCAUUUUCUUUAUUAUAGAUGAAUGAUGGAACAACUAUGACGAAGAAGGUCCACAUCUACAAAAGAUUGUUGUUAAAAUUAAAGCCAAACUUGUUCUUCACUAGGUUGUGAAAGAAAUUGGAGCCAUGAUUACUACCAAAAAGUACUAUUUUGUAGACCUAAUUAUAAUGGUUUUAAGCACCUUUGAGUAGUAAUCAUAUUCAUUUAACCCAAUUAAUUCAUUAAGGUCCUUAGUAAUUGGUUUUAACCAUUUUGUGGCAAGUUUACAUGUUUUUAUCAGCUUAUGAAUCAAUUCAAGCAUGCCAAAUGAUGGAGGAGCUACUUGGACAAGUUAUGGCAAAGCUUUUGGAAGCUCAAAUUCAUGAAGAACCAAGCUUUGGAGCUCCAUAGCCCUUUGCCAAAGUCGUUCAAAGUAUGCAAGGAAAGAACAAUGGAGAAGAGGAAAACAGAGGACAGCAGCUGCAGUCUUCUUUCGCACUUUCCGAAGUCCAUUUUUUACAUGCUACAUACCAUUUCAAAUCCCUGGAAGUCAAGAAUCCAACGAUUCAAACCGUGUAUGAUUUGGAGCUGAAAUGAGGAAGAUAUGGCCUUCGGAAGCCAACUGCUCCAGGCUUGUGCGAAAUUUUCGCACGACACAAGGUGUUGUGCGAAAUUCGCACAACACCUUCAAAAUUCGCACAGCCCAUGCGUGGUGCGAAUUUUCCUCUGUUUUUGCCGACUCCACUUUAGAUAUUUUUUUAUGUAUUGUUUGAUGUAAUUUCCUUUCUUAUCCUUGUAACUAACCAAUCACAAGCUUUUGCUUUUGUAAAGACUAUAUAAGGGGUGGAAAUCACCUCUUGGAAGAGAGAACAUGCGUGUUGCAUUUUACACUUAGGAUAUACAGAGCUCUCUCGUCUCUCUUUUCUCUUUACUAUUUUAUUUUCUUGGAAGCCAAACAGCCUCUGAGGGCUUUUCCUCAGAGGAUGAUUGGCUAAAACUUUUAGUUCCUCAAAGUAUGGAUGUUAUGUGAUGGCUUGGAUGCAAUCCCAUGGAAAUUUCUCACACCUGAAGGUAAGGUAGUUGUUUUUCAUUAAAGGUUCAUUAAGGCAAAGUUUGGUUUUUAUUUCCUUUGGACAACUUCCAACGGCCAAUACUUGAUAAGCUUUUGGAUUUCUAUCCAUUAGUUAUCUCCUACGAGCUAUUGGAAGGUGAGGUUUUCAAUUCCAAGUUUUGCAUUAAUCCGUUAGAACCAAUUUCAAUGGCCAUUGAAAGGUGAGUUUAUCACCUGGAAUGACUUUGAGUUGCCAAUAUUUGGUAAGCUUUUGGCUUUAGACCAUUAGUUAUCUCUUACGAGCCAUUCAAAGGAAGUCUAAGGUGAAUAACCAUUGAUGAAAUUCACUACCAUCUGUUUUGCCAUUUUAAAGGAUUAAAACUUGAUUUGCUAAAUCCAUACCGGUUCGGGAAGCAAGCAUCACCAUAGUUGCAACCCCAACGCGAGGAGCCUAUCCUGAGAUUUCCAAUUUGCAUAAGAGCUAGAGCAUAGCUAUCCUAUCUUUGAGAAACUUGUUUUUACACCCUUUCAUUUUAGUCUUUAAUGUUAGCUUAGAUUAGUUAAAUCUUUCUAAAACAUUUACAUCUUCUUUUAAAGCUAACAUCCAUAAGAAAAUCACCUAUUUUCCUAAUUUGAAUAUCACUUGUGUUUGCGAAAACCCUUCCUAGUGAACGAUCCUAGAACCACUAUGCUAUUAGCUUGGCUACUUUAGUAAUAGUACCUAAGGUAUAAAUUUUGUUGAUACGCCUUUAAAGCUAAGCUACCAUGAGUCGCAUCAAGCCACAUGGUCAUUGAUUCACACAAAGUUGCACAACCAUUUGGCAAUGAAAAAGUUGCAUAAGUUAGUUUAUGUGCACUACAAUAUGCGACUUUGAGUUAAGAAUUUGAUGCAAGAGCGAAACAAUGAAGAUUUAUACAAUCCAAUUUAUCUGAAUCAUAUCUUUAAUGAUGAUGAUUGAUUCGUGCCCAGCUGGUGUAUGCCCUGUUGAUUGGUGUUCAAUCAACUGGUGUACUCUGAUUUUGGUCCGCAGACAAGAGUAAUCAACAAAAUUUAUAAACCUAUUUCACCAUAUACUAGGGUAGCAUUAGCUAGCAUAGCAUAGUGGCUCUAAGAUCGUCCACAGGGAUGGAUUUUCAAAUUACAACUGAUAUUAGUUCAAAAACUAAAUUGGUGAUUUUUCUUUUUAAGGUUAGCUUUAAAAGAAAACAUAAAUAUGUUUGAAAAGGUUGGUUUUUGGUAAAACCAAAAAUAAAGUAACUGAAAUUACUUACAAAGAAAAGUGCUUCUUGGAGUUUUAGAUCACCAGGCUCAGGUUCGUCAUACAAAAAAGGAGAUUUCGGUCACUUGAAUCUUUUCCUCGCAUUGGGGAUUUAAUAUAUAGUUAUUUCUCGAACCGGUGUGGUACAGAUGCUUUCCCUUUAUGGUUUCAAACACUAAAUCCUUGUCACUGAAUAAUCUUACAAUGGUUCAUACCUCUCACCUAGUAUUGGCCAUUUAGGGUGAUCCUUAACCUUGGAUUACCCGUUAAAAGCUCGCAAGAGAUAACUAAUGGAUGUUUCCUGGGAGUCCAAAAGCUUACCAAGUGUUGACUAUUCUAGAUAAUCUUACCUUUAAACCACCUCCCAAAGGCUUGCAAGAGAUAAACUAGUGUAUCUCAAUGGAUGGAGAUCACUUGCCUUACUAAGUGUUAGCCCAGGUGAUUUUAAGGAAUUUUAAGUUAAUUAAAAGAUAAAAACCAUUAACGGGUCACACUUUCUCUUCAUUAAAAACUGAAACAACAAAACUUCCACUUUUGUAUCCGGAACCUUACCCAGUUUUCUUCACUCCAAGAAACAAAAAGCCUAGCCACUCAUCCUCUAGGAAAACAUUCUCAGAGUUUGAUUUGCUAGAAAUAAAAAUAACUAGAAAAAAAAAAUGAGAAGGUAAGGCAGAGCAAAGCUCUGUGUAUUACUUUCUUGAAAAACUAUACAAAGUGUCGUCCCUAAGAAAAACUCCCGAGUGAUCUUCUAAAAGAAAAUUACGAUAAAUAUUAUAUAGAGAGGUUAUUCACCCCUCCUGCUAACUUCCCAACCAAGAAAACUUGUCAUUGGUGGGUUACAAGAAGAAAAUAGGGAUUUACACACAAAUAUCUGAAGAUAAAUAUCAAACAGAGUCGAUGCGCAAAUAUCUCAAAUUACAGGUGGAUUUCGCAAAUUGAAAUUAUCCAUUUCGCAAGUUGUGAAAUUGUCCUACAACUUAUUAACUCUUUGUCCUAUAACUAUUCAUUUCCCCUUUCUACUUUGCAAGUUGCGAAAAUUUUGCAAGUUGGAUUCCACAACUUGCGAAAUUGCUGGAUGGUUGAUUUCUUCUGUGCUUUUCUUCCUUGCAUCCUUGUUUGGCUUUGGCAAAGGGUUAUGAAGCUCCAAAGCUUAGUUUCUUCAUGAAUUUGAGAUUCAACUUGCUUUGCCAUGAAAUAUACAAAGAUCUCCCUCAUUCUUGGAUUGCUUUGGUGAUAAAAAAGCUAUCAAAAACACUAAAACUUAACACAAUUUGAUUAGAAACGAUUGCAAAGGUCCUUAACAUGCCAAUUGAGUUAAAAGACAAUAACUACUACUGAAAAGUGUUUAAAAGAGUUAAUUACAAGCUAUAAAAUAACACUUUUUAAGUAGUAAUCACUUCCCCCAACCGACAUAUUGCUAGUUCCUUAGCAAUGAGGGAGAGAAAAAUAAAAAUAAACAGUACUAUAAUUUACAACAUCAUGCUAAUCACUCCAAAAAAUUUCAAGUGGCAUGAUGAUCAAACUCUCUCAUGAGACAUUAAAGACAUAAAACUCAAACCUCAACAAGAGUUAUCAAAUAACUUGCCUAAUCACAAUUCAUAAAGAGAAGGCAUUAUGCAAAUUUAAGCUUUAAAAGAAUUUCCACUCCCAAAUGGUCAAUCCUUACUCUUCCAUAAAAAUCUAAGUGUUACUUAUUAGUUUUCGAAUAUAAUAUGCUGAACUAAUCUCUCCUCCCCAACCUAGUUUUUUGUCAAAUCUUAGAAAACUGAUCAACCUCCAAUAGGCUAAGAAUGCACCUCAUUUAUUUCACACUUUUUUUUUUCUUGUAGGAGUACAAAGCUUAAAGGUAUUCUUUUCUAAAUUAUCCAUGUAACGGGGGUCCAUCGAUGACUCCUAACCAAUUAAGGUUUAGGGCAUCAAGCUUCAAGGAUCUUUCGACCACUAACUCCUCGGAUUUUACCUCAGAGUUUUGAGAUUGGAAUUCAAUACCCAAGCACCUACAGUAUGUUAAACUCCACCUAUUAACCCUUAUAACGAGCAUUCAGGUCGGUGACUCCCAACCAAUGAAGGCUUAGGGCACCAGGUUUUAAAGACUUUCACCAUAUACCCCUCAGACCUUGCUCGGGUUUCAAGGCAAAUAAAACAUUUUUCAAAGGCUCAUUGGCCUUUUCUAAGGUGUCCCAACACUAUUAAAACGAGGUCAAAGAUACCAAGUCUAAAAUUUCCUAAGUCAAGGGGUGAAAUAGUUUUUCAUCUUAUACUCGGAAUCUAGUGUGCACAAUGUGUGGUAAGCUUAAAGUGGACGAAAUAAGGUUGAAUUCAAUAGAAAUUUCAACAAUUCAUCAACUUUAAUAAGCAUAAUACAAACUCUAAGUAAAUUCAAUUUCUCCCAUUUCAUUUUGAGAUUUUUUCCUUGAUAACCAUGAAGAGUAUUCAAUUUUUUUUUUUAAAUUUACACAAAAAGUAACUAAAUUACCAUUUAUAACCUAUCAUUAUAAACAAUAUUUCCUUCCUCAACUUCUCCCUCCAACCAUGCUGAACAUUGCCCUCAAUGUUUGAAGAGCAAUUGAAAAUAAAGGGAGGAAGUGGUAUCUCCUGAGUGGAAUAGAGUUUGAAUUGUAUAGGAGGAACCACAUGAUUCAAAAAACAACAAAAAAAUGAGUAGAGGAAAUAAAUAAAAAUAUGUCAAGUACACUAAAAAAUGAAGGAUAUGUAUUACUUUAAGGAAGUACAAUAUGAAAUAUGCACAAUUAAUACAUCCAAUCCCAAUAUAUAAAACAUAAAAAACAUGGGAUUAAGAGUUCUACUAUAAUAAGUAAAUACAAAAAGUAGAUAGAUGAUCAGGUAGUGGUGGGAGGGUCAUGUAGAGACAAUGGCUCUGCUGUGGUAGUUUGAGUGCUCUAGAUCGGAGUCUCGACCUUUGCUGUAGUAGUCUUCUCAUGAGGCAUCGUCUGCUCUGCUGUAGUAGCCUCCUGAGAUGGAAUAGCUUGCUCAACUAGAGUAGCCUCCUCAAAUGGAGUUGUAGGCUCUGAUGGACCAGGCAUAUUAUGCUCAGGUGGUGGUGAAAUACCCAAAUGCUAUUGUAUUUGCCUCAGGAUGGCAGUAUCCUGGGUCUACGUGGCAAUAAGCUGAUCCUGAUGUGCAUGUAUGACUACUUUUCGCUGGGCGAGAAUACUUUGAGUGGUACUCAAUGUCUACAAUGUAUGACAUAGGCCUCUAAACUCUGAACAGGAUAUGGUGAUAGAGGACUCAGAUGGAGGAGGUGUUGAUGUAGCUAGUAUAACUGGUGGAGCUUCAGGCGUGGUAGGAGGAGCAGAAGAUGUAGCCUCAGGCAUGGGCACUGUAGAAGGUGCUGCAGAGGUAGGUGGUAUGAUCUCUAUAGGUAUCUCGGCCUGCUGUGCCUGUAGUGGCAUCUCAUCCUGUGGUAACUCUGGAGGUACUGGCAUAUCUGGGGCUCUUAGAGGUGCAACAUAGGCUGUCAGAUGAUUCCAUUUGUCGAAAGUGAAUAACUCUCGGCAAAUGUGGCAACGCUCAAGUUGAGGCUCAGAAGAAUAGCCUAAAUGCUCUAAUAUCUGAUAGAGCAACCUGGGAAAAAGUAAUGGAAUGGCAUCUGCUCUCUAGAGCUUUUUCCUAUGGACCUUCUCUUCAAAGUAAAGAAGAGAGGUCAUAACCAAAUGAUGAAGGCCAAAGUAAAAACCCUCUGAUAUCCGGAAUAACGCUUCCAAUAUAGCUCCUCUCCUCUACACCAUAUGCUAAAGUGGAAAUAUGUUGGAACACACACCACAUCUAAAAGAAGCAUCCUAGGUGGAAGCUCCUUCCUAAGAAGAAAUGAACGUGUAGAGGUCCUCUUGGACAAUAUACGGACCAUGUCUCUCUGAGAGAAACGGGACCACUCUCUAAAAUAUGCUGGACUCAAAGGCUCAUAUGGAAUGUGCAGGGCCUCUACAAUGUGUCUGGCUCUAAGGAUACCAUGGCAUCCAUCAAUGGUGAAGUGGAUGACAGUAGAAUCCUGGACGCGAUGAGUAGUCAUAGACUGAUAAAAGUCUAGUGCUACUGUGGGAUAGAAGAAGUCCCUAGGAGUCAUCAGGUGCUCCAAAUGGUAUCUCUGCAGUAGGUGGAAUGAAUCUCUAAGCUCCAACUGUUAUCUAAAAGUCUUCAUAUCAAAACAUAGCUCGGAGUGGAAUGACAUAGCUCGAUAAUCCAAAUUUCCCUUUAUAGGUGGCUGUGUAACCAUAGGUUGCCUGAUAAUCACUUUUGGAGUCAUCCUAGAAGGAAUCUGAGACUCUGUAGUAGGCGGUUGAGGCUAUGGAGGUGUAGAUGACUCUCUUGAGCCUGAACUCUUGCUUUUUUUGCAAGAGGGCGACGAAAUGAUUUCUUGGGGUGCGAAGUGCUUACCCCAGGUGUAGUGGGUGGUCUUCUCAUCUCAUACCUGUGCUGAGGAUGGCUAGAUGGCACUUCACCCUUAGAAUGUGGAAUGGCAGAGGCCUAUGGAGCCUCAAACAUGGAAUCCUACGCAGGUGGAGCUCUUGGCCUUGGAUUGCGGGCUGAUGGAGACGCGGCUUGGGCUCCUCUUGUCUUGGCCAUGGCUGAAAUGGAGAGGCUCGUGUUCCACAGGGUACGCGGAGGUGCGUGAAGUGCUUCUUCUUCAGAUACAAGACCUCUAGGCUUCCUAUGGAAGGGAUGCUUUGAAAUUUUGGGGCUUCACAACUUAUAGUGUUUUUUCGUAACUUGGAGGGGCUGUGCAAAAUGAAAAAAUGAGCAAACCAGAGGUUUAAAUAGGAAUUUAAACGACGGUUGUCAUUUUUGCAAGUUGGCCUGAAUUCGCAAGUUGCCCUAUUUCGCAACUUGAUUCACAAGUUGAUUCGCAGGCUACGAAAAUGGAUUUUUAACUUGCGAAAUGGCACAUGUGUGCCUGGAGGUGCUUUUGCAGGCUACAAAAAUUUUCGCAAGUUGAAUAGUGGACUUAUGAAAUUGAGCUUUGAGGAUUUCGCAAGUUGAACCCUAUUUUCGCAAGUUUGAAUAUUGCUAUGUUUUUCAGGCUUUUUCUCCCCAUUGGUUCUUUAAGGCUUUCCUCCAAUUCCUUUGAAGUUCCUCCUAAUUUUGAUUAUCCAAAAAUUCUAAGUUAGAUUAAAAUAAAAUAAAUUAAAGCUAGAAUUAAAAUUAAAACAAAUAAUAAAGCUUUUAAAUCAACAAAAUUGAAACAAAAAACAUGGACUUUGGUUAGUCUUCAAAAAAACUAAGUCCAUCUACUCCUUUUUGGUUAAGAUUGUUGUGGCUCAAUGAGACUGACUUCCUCCUUGUCUUGAUUGAAAGGCUCCAUGAAUGGCUUGAGACAGUGGCCAUUGACUUUGAAAGUGUCUAUGCUGUUGGAAUUGAGUAGUUCCACUACUCCAUUGGAAUGCACUUGGUGAAUAAUGAAAGGGCCUAUCCACCUUGAUUUUAGUUUUCCUGGAAAGAUGUGGAGCCUAGAGUCAUAGAGUAAGACUCUUUGUCCAUUUUGAAAUUCUUUGUUGGAGUAACUGAUCAUGCCACAUCUUCAUCCUCUGUUUUGCAAUUUUGGAAUUGAUGUAGACAUCAUUUCUCAAUUCCUCUAUCUCAUUAAGGUCUAAGCACCUCUUCAUCCCGGUUCUGUUCAAAUCCAUGUUUACUUUUUUAAUUGCCCACCAAGCCUUGUAUUCAACUUCCACAGGGAGAUGACAUGCUUUGCCAUAGACUAGGCGAUAAGGAGACAUGCCAAGAAUAGUCUUGUAAGCUGUUUUGUAUGUCCAUAGUGAAUCAUAGAGCUUAACAGACCAAUCUCUUCUACUCGUGUUCACCACCUUCAUCAAUAUAUUCUUGAUUUCCCUGUUUUCUAACUCAACUUGCCUAGAAGUCUAAGGGUGGUAAGGUGUAGCUACCUUGUGCUUCACCCCAUACUUGGCUAAGAGAGUUUAAAAAGGCUUGUUGCAAAUAUGAGUACCUCCAUCACUGAUUAUGACCUUGGGCACCCCAAAUCUUGAGAAGAUGUUCUCUUUGAGAAACUUGAGAACAACUCUAUGGUCAUUGUGUUUAUAUGGGAUUGCCUUAACCCAUUUAGAAACAUAGUCUACCCCCACCAAAAUGUAAGAGUUACCAAAAGACAUAGGGAAAGGUCCCAUGAAGUCAAUGCCCUAAACUUCGAAGAGAUCAACUAUUAAAAUGGGGUUCAUAGGCAUUUGGUUCCUACAUGUUAGUUUCCCAAGCCUUUGGCAUCUAUCACAGCUCCUGCACAUGGCAUGAGCAUCUUUGAAAAGUGAUGGCCAAUUGAAACCUGAUUGUAGCAUCUUCCUGGCUGUUUUCUAAGAGGCAAAGUGGCCUCCACAUGUGCUUUCGUGGCAAUGACUGAGGAUCCCCUGUUGCUCUUGUUCAGGGACACACUUCCUUAUUAUUUGAUCUGCACAAUACUUGAAAAGAAAAGGUUCUUCCCAAUAGUAGGCAUGAAUUUUUGUAAAGAAGUGCUUCCUAUCUUGUGCUUUCCACUCACUUGGAACUUCACCAGUAACUAGAUAGUUGGAAAUAUGAGCAUACCAAGAAGCAUCUUCUAACAACAUAAGUGACUCCUCAGAAAAAUCAUCAUUAAUAGGUAAACCAUGGGAAUUGUGCGAUAUAGCCAACCUUGAAAGGUGGUCAGCUACCACAUUUUCCACUCAUUUCUUGUCUUUGAUUUAGAGAUUGAACUCUUGUAGUAAGAUAAUCCAUCUAAUCAGCCUUGAUUUUUCAUCUUGCUUUGUCAAUAAGUACUUCAAAGCUGAGUGGUUAGUGAAAACCACAAUGAAAUACCCUACCAGAUAAGCACAAAAUUUGUCAAAGGCAAAAACUACAUCCAACAAUUCUUUCUCUGUGGUUGUGUAGUUUCUUUGCGUUUCAUUCAAUGUUUUUCUUGCAUAGUAGAUCACAUAGGGUUUUCCAUCCUCUCUUUGACCAAGAACAGCUCCUAUAGCAAAGUCACUAGCAUCACACAUCACUUCAAAAGGUAGUUGCCAGUUAGGAGCCCUCACUAUUGGAGCGGUUGUCAAGAACUACUUUAGUUACUCAAAACUUUUUUGACAUCUCUCAUCCCAUACAAAUUUAGCAUCCUUCACCAAUAGUUCACAAAGAGGCUUUGAAAGUUUAGAGAAAUCUUUAAUAAACCUCCUGUAGAACCCAACAUGGCCAAGGAAUUGCCUUACUCCUUUUACAGUUGUUGGGGAUUGCAAUUUGACAAUAAGUUCCACCUUUGCUUUAUCAACUUCAAUGCCUUUCUUGGAGAUGAUGUGGCCAAGGACAAUUCCUUGCUGUACCAUAAAAUGGCAUUUCUCCCAGUUAAGCACUAAGUCAUUUUCAAUGCAUUGGUUCAGAACAGCUUCCAAGUUGACUAAACAUUCCUCAAAUGUGUUUCCAUAUAUGGUGAUAUCAUCCAUAAAAACUUCCACAAUACGCUCCACCAUAUCACUGAAAAUGCUUAACAUACAUUGUUGGAAUGUUGCAGGUUCAUUGCAUAAACCAAAAGGCAUUCUUUUGUAGGCAUAUGUUCCAAAUGGACAUGUGAAAGUGGUAUUCUCCUGGUCUUCAACAUCAAUUUCUAUUUGAAAAUACCCGGAGUAGCUGUCCAAGAAACAAUAGAAAGGAUGGCCUAAGACUCUCUCCAACACUUGAUCAAUAAAUGGCAAUGGAAAAUGAUCAUUCCUUGUCACAACAUUCAAUUUUCUAUAAUCAAUACAUACCUUCCAACCUGAAGUGAGGCGUGUAGCAACUUCUUCUUCUUUAUCAUUUUGCACCACUGUGAUCCCUGAUUUCUUUGGCACUACUUAAGUAGGACUCACCCAUGGGCUAUCUAAUAUGGGGUAGAUAAUACUGGCCUGAAGUAGCUUAAGAACCUCGGCUCGCACCACCUCUUGCAUAUGAGGAUUCAAUCUUCUUUGAGGUUGAUGAAUUGGCUUAGCUUUUUCUUCCAUGUAUAUAUGAUGUGUACAGACUAAAGGGCUGAUACCUUUCAAGUCAGAUAUUUGCCAUCCUAUUGUUUUCUUACAUCUCCUAAGAACUUCAAGUAAACACUCCUCCUGAUGAGUGGUAAGAGAUGAAGAUAUAACAACAGGGCACUUUUUAUUCUCCUCUAGGUAUGCAUACUUCAACUCCGUGGGUAGUGGCUUCAGAUUAAGCUUUGGGGCCUCCUUUUUAACAGCUUCUUGUGUCUCCUCCUCAUUGAACAAAGGUAGAAUUUCUUCUAUCCUCCUCCAAUCUGGUAGAGUAACAAGAAAAUUUGAGGGUUCAGUCAACCCUUCAUCAAGAUCCCCGAGACUUUUAUUCAACUUCUCUUGUAUUUUCUGAUUACAAUGCUCCUCUACUAAAGUGUCAAUGAUGCACACCUCUUCUGGAAUUUCUUCUUCUUCCGGAUUGAUUGGCUUAUUGGACAUAUAGAAGAUAUUGAGCUCCAAUGUCAUGUUGCCAAAUGUGAGUUGCAUGAGUCCAUUUCUACAAUUAAUGAUUGCAUUUGAUGUAGCUAGGAAUGGUCUUCCAAGUAUGAUAGGAACAUAAUUAGUUUCCUUGACAAUUGGGUCUGUAUCAAGAACAACAAAAUCCACUAGAUAGUAGAAAUUGUCAACUUGAACUAAGACAUCUUCAAUAAUCCCCCUUGGAAUCUUCACUGAUCUAUCUGCUAGAGAUAGAGUGAUUGAUGUUGGUUUCAAUUCACCAAGUCCCAAUUGCUUGUAGACAGAGUAUGGUAACAAAUUCACACUUGCCCCCAAGUCCAACAAAGCUUUUUCCACAAAAGUCCCUCCAAUCAUCACUGAGAUGGUAGGGCAGCCUGGAUCUUUGUACUUCACUGGAGACUUGCACUGUAUAAUGACACUUACUUGCUCAGUCAAGAAGGCUUUCUUAUUCACAUUCAACCCUCUUUUGAUAGUGCACAAGUCCUUCAGGAAUUUUGCAUAAGUCGGCACUUGUCUGAUCAUGUCUAGCAAUAGGAUGUUGACCUUCACUUGCCUCAAUACUUCAAGAAUUUCUUAUGCAUUGCUGAUUCCCUUUUUUCCUUGCAAAGCUUGAGGAAAAGGUGGAGGCAUGUGUUUCUUCAUCACAUCUCCAUUGAUAACUAUCUUCUCCAAAUCUUCAUUAACUGUUGAAUCAUGGUUCCCUUUCCUUCCACUACUCCCUUUCUUCUUUCCUUUGAUUUCUUCUCUCUUCUCUGUCUCUUUUUCACUCUCUGUUUCAUCAUGUGGCUUGGGUGUUGGCAGCUCAACCUCUUUACCACUCCUUAGAGUGAUCAUGGCUUUGACGUCCCUCACCUAUGAAGAUUCUCCCUCAUGAGCCUCCAUUUCAUGGAUACCCUUGGGGUUUUGGUGAGGUUGAGAAGGAAACCUUCCCUUCUCUUGCACUGUGUUAAGGUUGGUGAGCCUUGAGAUUGAGUACUGGAGAUUAUCUAUCUUUUGAGAUAGAUCUUUUUGCAUUCCAUCCAUCAUUUUAUUCAAUGUAUUCUUUACACUGUCGAUUUUUUGACUAAGUUGAGCAUUAAUGGAUUUCUGGUCUCCAACAAAAUCUCCCACGACCUUGCCUAGAUUCAUUAUUACUUGCUUAAGAUUUGAAGCUUGUUGAGAUGCUUAGCUUGGUUGUGUGUACUGAAGUGCUCUUGGUUUCUAGGAGAAAUUUGGAUGGUUCCUCCAAUUUGAAUUGUAGGUAUUUCCAUAUGAAGCAUUGUUAUUGGGCUUGAAUUGUUCAAUAACAUUUGCUUGAUUUCCAAACAUUUCUCUAACAAUUGGAAUUGUAGGACACUCCUCCACCAAGUGCUCAUAAGAAUGACAAAUGGAACAAAGCAUAACUUGCACUGGUGUUUCAGAAACGGCUUGCACUUCACAUAUAUUUUUCAGUUCUAGCUUCUCCAAUCUUCUUGUCAUAGCUACAACUUUUUCUUUCAUAUCAAUAUCUUCGUUCAAGGUAUACAUCCUAGCCUUAGCAUUAAGAGCAUUUGGUUGAGACUUCAUUCUUCCCACUUCUCCCCUGUUCGGUGAUUACUACUCAAAAAAGUGUUAUUUGAUAGCUUAUAAUUAAUCCUUUUAAACACUUUUGAGUAGUAGUUUUGCCCUUUUAACUCAAUUGGCAUGUUAAGGACCCUUGAAAGCAAUUUUAAUCACUUUGUGUAAGUUUUGGUGUUUUUUUUAGUAAUUUGAUCACCAAAGCAAUUCAAGAUUGAGGAGAGUUUUGAGGAAUCUUGGGCAAAGCUUAAAAUUCAUUUGCCAAGAGUAAAUCCGGAUUGCAAGGAGAAAAAGUAAAGAGAAUCUGACAUGAAGCAUAUUCUUGAUGACAGUCAUAGUAGCCACUUUUGGAGCACUUUCUGAAGUCCAAUUGAUGCAUGCUAUAUACCAUUUGAAAUCUCAGGAAGUCAACAAUCCACUGCUUCAAACGGUGUGCAAUUCGGAGUUGAAACGAAGAAGUUACAGCCAUUGUAAGCCAAUCACUCCAAGCUGAAGGAAGCAUUUUGCAAAGUGCUGCGAAAUCACCCUUUUGUUGCGAAGUGAUUCCGCAGCCUUUUUGUACAGUAUGGUGUAUUUCCUUCUGAAGUUGCCCGACAUAUACCGCGAGAGGGAAGCUGGGAACCUCAAGGUGGAAGCCAACUUCGCAGCCCUGAGAAGAUAGCAUGUUGUUGCGAAAUGAUUUUGCAGCCCUCUUGAGUGUCUGCGAAAUCUCGCAGACACCAUUUUCUCUUGCGAAAUGGUUCCUGGAGCCUCCCGAUAUUUGCUACUGACAUUGGGAGAUAUUUUACAUCAGAUUUUUGUUGUCUAAAUCCCAAAAUACUCCUUGUAAGCCACCAAUUACAAGAUUCCUUAGCUUUUAAGUUAGUAAAAAAGAGAAAAUAUCAAUGUAAUAAUUAGUUUUAUAUUAUGUUCAUAUAUAUACCUCUCGGGAGCCUGUUCUCAGAGAGGAGAUCCUUUUGUAAAGUUUUGGGUAAGCAAGUAAAGUUCAGUUCUUUCUACUGCCUUACCUUCUCACUUUGUAUUUUUUAUUUAUUACUAAGUUAUGAACUCUCUGAGGAGUUUUCCCCAGAAAAUGAGUAACUAAACCUCUAAUUCCUUGGAGCUAAGGUUGCCGGGGAAGGUUCCAAGUGCAAGAAUGAAAAGCUUUGUGGUUUUAGUAAGUAAUGAAGAGGAAGUGAAAUCCUUUAGUGAUUUCUAUGUUUUUAGUUAACUUAAAACACCUUAGAGUCACCUGGGCCAACACUUGGUAAGGCAAGUGAUUUCCAACCAUGGAGAUGCACUAGUUUACCCCUUGCGAGCCUCUGGGAGGUGACUUCAAGGUAGGAUUUUCUAGAAUUGCCAACACUUGGUAAGCUUUUGGACUCCAAGGAGACAUCCAUUAGUUAUCUCUUACGAGCUUGAGAAGGGAAGUCCAAGGUUAAAGAUCACCGUGAAUGGUUAAGGCUUAGUGAGAGGCUUAAACCAUUGCAAGUUGCAUCAGUGAGAGAAUUAAAGUGAAAUCUAAUUGAAGGAUGUAUCUGUACAACACCGGUUAGAGAAUUGACUAUAUGUUGAAUCUCUAACGCGAGGAAAUGAACCAUCUGACCGGAGCUAUGUCUUUUGCAUGAGGAACCACCCCAGUGAACUUGACUCUCCAAGGAAUGUUUUUCUUCCUAAGUUAUUCCUAUUACUUGUUGUGUUAGUUAGUUUAAGUCUAAACCUUUACCAAUCAAAGUUUGUGUUUUAUUUCUUAAGCUAACCUUGAAAUGAAACAAGACCAAUUCACUUGGAAUUGGCAUCAUUGAUAGCUUGUUAAUCCUUCCCAGUGAACUAUCCUAGAGCCGCUAUACUAUAGUAGCUUUUUCUUUGCUAUCAUAGUGUAUGGUGUUAUAGGUUAUAAAUUUUGUUGAUUACUCCCUCAUUCAAGGAGCACCAGCUGGACACGAAUCAGCUGAUACACCAAUUAGGCAUGAAUCAUUUGGUUCAUCCCAUCCUCUUGAAACUUCAGCAACAUAAUUCAAGAAAUCCAUGGCUUCCUCCGGAUUCUUACUCAUGAAAUCCCCUCCAUACAUAGUCUCUCAGAGUUGCUUCAUUGAGGAAGACAUACCAUCAUAAAAGUAGCUCACCAAUAGCCAUGUAUCAAAGCCAUGGUAAGGACAAGCAUUGAUAGCUUCCAUGUAUCUCUCCCAACACUCAUAGAAUUUUUCAUUCUCUUUAGCUGAGAAGUUUGAAAUUUGCCUUUUUAAGCCAUUGGUCCUAUGAGUAGGGAAAAUUUUCUUGAGAAAUUCAGCUUGCAAAUCAGUCCAAGUUCGGAUACUCCUUGGCCUUAAAGAAUUAAGCCAAAUCUUGGCCUUAUCCUUCAGAGUGAAAGGAAAUAGCUUUAGCCUCAUCAAGUCGAUUGAAGUUCCUCCCUCUUGGAAUGUAUUACAAACAUCUUCAAAUUCUUCGAUAUACGCGUAGGGAUUCUCACUUUCCAUCCCAUCGAAAGUAGGUAGAAGUGGCACAAUAUGCAGUCUGAUUACUAGUUGCUCUGUAUGAGGCACUAUGCAUGAUGGUGCACUCAUACGAGGUGGAUGCAUGCGGUCCCCCAUUGAUCUGAAUGCAUUGGGAUUGUCCUAGUGACCAUGGUAACUAUGCUGAUCUUUAGGUGUAGUUUCUAUGAUGUUCAAGCACAAUUCCAACUCUGUUUCGUGAGGUGUUUCAAUUUUUAAAAGUCUUCCUCCACUAUCUCGUAUCCAAUAUGGCAUACACAACUAGUAACAAUUGUAACAAAAACAAAGAAAACAAAAGAAAAUAAUACUACAAAAAACUAAGAUUAACUAAAAACUAAAUUAAAAGAUAGACUAAAAUAUGAACAAGUAAAAGAGACAAUUAAAAAGAGUUAGUAAAAGAAAAGAAAAAUCACCAAACUUGUUAUCUUCAUCACAAGUGUUUUGGAAAAGGUUAUAUCACUAUAAAAUUGGCACCAUCCCCAGCAACGACGCCAUUUGAUUCGUGCCUAGUUGGUGUAUGCCCUGUUGAUUGGUGUUCAAUCAACUGGUGUACUCUGAUUUCAGUCCUCAGACAUAGUAAUCAACAAAAUUUAUAAACCUAUUUCACCAUAUACUAGGGUAGCAUUAGCUAGCAUAACAUAGUGGCUUUAAGAUCGUCCAUAGGGAUGAGUUUUUAAAUUACAACUGAUAUUAGUUCAAAAACUGAAUUGGUGUUUUUUCUUUUCAAGGUUAGCUUUAAAAGAAAACAUAAAUAAGUUUGAAAAGGUUGGUUUUUGGUGAAACCAAAAAUAAAGUAACUGAAAUUACUUACAAAGAAAAGUGCUUCUUGGAGUUUUAGAUCACUAGGCUCAGGUUCGUCAUACAAAAAGAGAUAUUUCGGUCAAUUGAAUAUUUUCCUCGCAUUGGGGAUUUAACAUAUAGUUAUUUCCCAAACCGGUGUGGUACAGAUGUUUCCCUUUUAUGGUUUCAAACACUAAAUCUCUAUCACUGAAUCAUCUUGCAAUGGUUCAUACCUCUCACCUAGUAUUGGCCAUUCAGGGUGAUCCUUAACCUUGAAUUACCCGUUAAAAGCUCGUAAGAGAUAACUAAUGGAUGUCUCCUGGGAGUCCAAAAAAUUACCAAGUGUUGGCUAUUCUACAUAAUCCUACCUUUAAACCACCUCCCAAAGGCUCGCAAGAGAUAAACUAGUGUAUCUCAAUGAACGAAGAUCACUUGCCUUACCAAGUGUUGGACCAGGUGAUUUUAAGGAAUUUUAAGUUAACUAAAAGGAUAAAAACCAUUAACGGGUCACACUUUCUCUUCAUAAAAACUGAAACAACAAAACUUCCACUUUUAUAUCCGGAACCUUACCCAACUUCCUUCACUCCAAGAAACAAAAAGCCUAGCCACUCAUCCUCUGGGAAAACAUCCUCAGAGUUUGAUUUGCUAGAAAUAAAAAUAAUGAGAAAACAAAAUGAGAAUGUAAGGCAAAGCCAAACUCUGUGUAUUACUUUCUUGAAAAACUAUACAAAGUGUCAUCCCUGAGAAAAACUCCCGAGCGAUCUUCUAAAAGAAAAUUACAAUAGAUAUUAUAUAGAGAGGCUAUUCACCCCUCCUGCUAACUUCCCAACCAAGAAAAAUUGUCAUUGGUGGGUUACAAGAAGAAAAUAGGGAUUUAAACACAAAUAUCUAAAGAUAAAUAUUAAACGGAGUCGGUGCGCAAAUAUCUCAAAUUAUAGGUGGAUUUCGCAAACUUGCAAAAAUUUCUCAAGUUGAAAUUAUCCAUUUCGCAAGUUGCAAAAUUGUCCUGCAACUUAUCAGCUCUUUGUCUUGCAGUUAUUCCUUUCCCCUUCCUACUUCGCUAGUUGCGAAAAUUUUGCAAGUUGGAUUCCACAACUUGCGAAAUUGCUGGAUGGUUGGUUUCUUCUGUGUUUUUCUUCCUUGCAUCCUCGUUUGGCUUUGACAAAGGGCUAUGAAGCUCCAAAGCUUAGUUUCUUCAUGAAUUUGAGCUUCAACUUGCUUUGCCAUGAAAUAUACAAAGAUCUUCCUCAUUCUUGGAUUGCUUUGGUGAUAAAAAAAAAGCUAUCAAAAACACUAAAACUUAACACAAUUUGAUUAGAAAUGAUUGCAAGGGUCCUUAACAUGCCAAUUGAGUUAAAAGGCAAUAACUACUACUCAAAAGUGUUUAAAAGAGUUAAUUACAAGCUAUAAAAUAGCACUUUUUGAGUAGUAAUCAAUGAUAUAUUAGAUGAGUGGAUACGAGAAGGAGAUGAGCCUAUUUUAUCAUCUAAUAAUUUGGAUUGGGUGGAUAAAGGUCUUCCCACUAAUGAAGAAGGUAGAGAAACAGUUCAUGAAGAUGAUGGUGCCACAAAUCGUAGAGUUAGUAGGCGUACAAGUAAUGCUACACAAGAAAGAGAUGUUGAUUCCUGUCAUAAAGGUAAGACUCCUAGAACGAUUUCUUCAAGUUCUAGUAGUGGUGAUGGUGACAAUGGGCGCAGUAGGCGGGAUGGUGGCACUAGUGGGGGUAUUGGAGAAGAUGGUAGCAUGGAAGGAGAUGGUAGCACUGGAGGUGGUUAUGUUAGUCAAGUAGACCAUGGCAUGUCAUGGGCAUAAGAAGGUGAAAAUUACUAUGCCACACAAGAUACAAAUCAUGGAUAUCAAUCAGGGAUAUGAGAAUAACAAAAGCAUUUGGAAAGACUAAUUACAUUUCCUAGCGAUGAUGAUUAUUCUAGUGGGCAUGAUUAUCAUAGAUCAAAUUAUCACAGUAUCAAUGAGCACUUACAGAAUUUGGGUAUAGGAUCAAGGUCGUAUUUCAGAGGGGUAGAUGAUAGAUCAUAUCACAACUUUAGAGACCGUGAUAGCUCUUCCAGUACUUUUAGUAGAUAUGAUUUUGAUCGAUUUCCAAUGAUGCAUCUCAAGGGAUAGUUAAAUACAGGAACACGAGCUAGUGAUUCAUAUGGAUAUGAUCAAUCUUCUCAUAGCAAUAGCAUUGCUUAUUGAGGUUUUGGAUACUAUCAAUAUGGUGUUGACCCGAAACAGCUUUCGAAACCAUAUUUUCCUGAUUAUGGAUCAUCAAGCCAAUCAUCUCAGCCAGCAUAUUCGAGUUAUGAACAACUCUUUCAACCAUAUCCUCACUAUAGGAAUUGCCACCCCAAUUUAUAUACUUGUCGUAGGACUGAUGAUGAUGAUUUUGAACCCCGUUGUCAUUUAACAUGGAAUUGAUUAUUAUAUUGUAUGUUUGUUAGUAAAAAUUUUAUUAUAUUUGAAAUAAAAUAAUUUUCUUUUAUUAGCAUUAUCAUAAAUAACUCUAAGCAAAAUACUUUUAUAACUAUUUAAAUAAUGUCAAAUGUGAGACAAUUUUAUUUUAUUAAUUUUUUGAGCUUAUUUAAUUGUAUAUAUUUUUCUGAUGAUUUACAUAAUAUUUUUAUAAUUUUUUGAAUUUUCUAAUUAGCUUAUUUUACGUAUCGCCCGAUACCAAACCAAUACGCCUAGGGGCCCUCCAAGUCAGUGACCGAUACCGCAACUUUGAACCGUGGUCUUGACGCCAAUGUUACUCAUUUUCACCAUGGACUUCCCAAACUCCAUGUUGAAGUUCAACGCCUGCAAGCCUCUAAUGCCUAGGAAUCGCUGCAUGUAGCUUUUGGUGAAGUCAUUUGUCCACAACUUCUUAUCCGACUCAAGUAUUCCACGUCCAUUCUUCAAAUUUUUAAAGAAAGAGGCAUUGAAUGUGUUGGGGCUACUAGUGUCCAAUGCAACGUGCCUGUUUGCAUCAUUUUUUUUAGGGCAAAAAGCUUGUAGAUGAGGAAAAAAGGCAGGUUCUAUGAAGAAAUCAACACCAUUUCCCGUUGUCGUGUUGAAGUUAUAUAGUUUGUCACUAAAGAAUUGGCAUGCUGAAGUUCCAAUAGUGUGAUCGCCUGUAAUGUGUUCACAUCAAUGUACCGAGUUAAUUUAGGUAUAUAGACUCUGGUGAAGUAGAGCAAAGAAAUUAAACUAAGUAAGUUGAAUAAUUAUGAGUUUGAUACGGCGGUUCUUACAAACUAGAGCAACAAGAUCUUGAUCAUUGAGACCCUUGUCAGUGAACUUUUGCUUUUGGAGUUCAAUGGAGUCACGGGAGGCUGGAAAAUUGGCAGUCUCAGAUGCUAAUGAAACACGACCGUCUCUCCACCCUAUGGGUACCUUCCAGCUUGCUCCUUUGGUCUGCGUAAAACAUUGGAGUAGCAUAAGUAAUAAUAAGGCAUUGAAUAUUGUAAUAUGUUGGGAUCGACCAUGAAUCAUGUAUUUAUGCAUACCAGAAGGACAGAGUCACAGGCAACGAGAGCAAGAAUAUCAGCGCAUUAGUCCACUCCAAGGUAGGCGGCUUCCAACCGGGUCUUGGCGUCAUCUAUUACUUCAUAUCUUCUCAACAGACUAUUGGGACCAUCAGUUCUUUUAGUUGAGGAGCUAGUGAGGAGGAUGAAAGCAUCGCAACCUUGGACGAAGUAGUCAUGGAAGUACAUGCGGAGCAAACAGGGGCAAUGGUUGGGUUGGAAUUGAAAUAAGUUGUAAGUGUCUCUUUCACAAUGGAUUCGACUUUAGGGCAAGUAUAGGAAUAGAACCUGACCCGCAUAUUAGAGAAUUCAUUACAAUAAAUUUUAUUUCUAUUUUCAAAUUCUUGUAAUUAGUUGUGAUUUCCUAUUUUUGUUGUAAUUCCCUAAUUCUAAGAUUGUUUCCCAUUUUUAUGUUUUGGGCUAAUUCUAGGAUUUUUUUUCCUAUUUUUGUUGUAAUCCCCUAAUUCUAGGAUUGUUUCCUAUUUUUGUGUUUUGGGUAGAUUGUUUCCUAUUUUUGUGUUUUAGGUUUUGUGUGUAUAUAUUCAUUCUUAAUCAAUGGAAAACUCAAGCCAUUGUUUCUCAAUAAUCCUCUCUCUACUUUAAUAUGGUAUCAAGAGCCUAAUCUUUUUGGGCAUAUUUUCUUCCUUUUUUUUUUUCCUUCUCUUCAAUAGCUUCCGAUACAUCCUUCUAUUUCCACCAAUGAUCCUAUCACCAUCCAAAACUCCUAAGAUCCUUAACAUCCCCUCCUUACAAUCAAUCUUUCCAAUAUCACCAAAUUGUCAUCCACCAAUUAUCUCACAUGGAGCCUUCUAAUCUAAUAUCUUCUUGAAGGUUAUGAUCUUCAUCACUUCAUUGAUGACACACAUAUUCCACCACCACCCACCAUCACUGUCACUGGUGUUGCAUCCCUAAAUCCGACAUACACAAUCUGGAAACGUCAGGAUCAUCUCAUUUUUAGUGCUCUCCUUGGUGCUAUCUCCGUUUCACUACAACCGCUUAUUGCCCACACCACCACUUUCCUUGAUGCAUGUCAAACCUUAGCUAAUACCUAUGAAAAACCAUCUCGUGGUGAUAUUAAACAAUUAAAGGAACAAUUAAAGCAGUGUACCAAGGGCUCAAAAUCAAUUAGUGAAUAUAUGCAGGCGAUAAAAACUUGUGCCAAUGAACUUGCCCUUUUGGGGAAGCCAGUUGAUGAUGAGGAUCUUAUUGAUCAAGUUCUUGAAGGACUAAGUGAUGAGUACAAAUCCGUCAUUGAUGCAAUUAAUGCCUGUGACACAUCAAUUUCUUUUACUGAGCUCCAUGAGAAACUUCUCAAUAAAAAAACAUCUCUUCAAACUGCUCAAUCAUCUCCUCUAUCACUACCAGCAACGGCAAAUCCCACAGCCUUCUGGAAUCAUCCAAAUUGGCGUCCACCAGCCACCACUCCACAACAACUAGGCCCUACCACUGUGUUUUCUCCUCAUGAUCAACACCAACCCAAACCUUAUUUGGGUCAUUAUCAAGCAUGCGGUAUUCAAGGACACACUGCCAAACGAUGCCCGAUGUUUUGGCUUGUCACUAAUCAACAAUCCCCGACACCUCAUCCUCAAGGCACUUAGGGAUAUUGCCCAUCCACACCUUGGCAACCACGAGACAAUCAUGUUGUUCUCGGCAACAACACUACUCCUACUUUAAUUGUUGGAUAGUGGAGCAUCUCACCACAUUACAUCUGACUUGAGUAAUCUCUCUCUUCAUAACCCGUAUCAAGGAUCUAAUGAUAUCAUGAUUAGCGAUGGAUCGACCCUUCCCAUCACACAUACCGGUUUUACGACCAUACCUUCUUCCUCUCGCACCUUUACUUUACAAAACGUCAUUUGUGUCCCUUCCAUGUAAAAGACCUUAAUUUGCAUUUAUCAAUUUUGCACUAAUAAUCAUGUUUAUGUUGAAUUCUCAGCCUCUACUUUUCAGGUGAAGGAUCUAAACACGAGGGCAAUCCUUUUGAUGGGUGAACCUAAGGAUGGUGUAUAUGAGUGGCCGACUACAUUCCCUUCUGUUACCUUUUCACAGUUGCUUGUAUUUUCCAGUGUCAAGACUACUUCGUCCGAGUGGCACUCUAGACUAGGUCAUCCAUCAUUUACUAUUAUGAAAAAUAUUGUUUCUAAGUUUUCUUUACCAUUGUCUAGUCCGUUAUCCUCUUUCACACAUUGUAAUGUCUAUUCAUGUAAUAAAAGUCAUAAAAUUCCAUUUUCUUUUUCUACCUUAACCUCAUCCCAUCCGCUUGAACUUCUCUUUUCUGAUGUAUGGACCUCUCCUGUUUCUUUUGUUGAUGGUUUUCAGUACUAUGUUUUUUUUUUUAUCAUUAUACAUGGUAUACUUGGUAUUAUCUACUUAAACAGAAAUCCCAUGUGUAUGAUGUCUUUGUGCGCUUCAAGGCAUUAGUCGAAAACCAAUUUAAACGCCGAAUUGUUACCCUCUAUUUAGAUAAUGGUGGCGAAUAUCAAACCCUUGAUAAUUUUCUCUCCACCAAUGAUAUAUCCCAUCUUACUACACUACCACAUACACCUGAACACAAUGGUAUUUCCGAACGACGUCAUCUCCAUAUUGUUGAAACCGGUCUAUCUCUUCUCACUCAUGCAUCGAUGCCUCUUAACUUUUUAGACUUACGCCUUUGCCACUACUAUAUAUCUCAUCAACCAUAUGCCCACACCCACAUUACAUCUCUCAUCUCCUUUUGACAAACUCUUUGAAUUUCCACCCAACUACACUAAACUUCGAGUGUUUGGUUGCUUAUGUUAUCCAUGGCUUCGUUCUUAUUCUCAACAUAAACUUGAGCUCGUUCCACUCCUUGUGUUUUUCUUGGUUACUCUUCAACACAAAGUGCCUAUAUCUGUCUUGAUAUGUCCACCUCAAAAACCUAUAUUUCUCGUCAUGUCAAAUUUCUUGAAAACUCUUUUCCAUUUACCAUCCACCAAUCCUAUCUAGCUCGUCCCACCCCAAAGCUCAUUUCCAACUGGCUUCCUCAGUCCAAACUCUAACCAUUUCAAAUGGCUCACUCAAUACGCCUCCACAAAGGGAUUACUCGUGCCAGCAUCAAUCCUAAAAUGCCCAACCGGUCGAUCGCCCCUCCUCACCAAUUAACCGUUUACCACCAUAACCACACAAUUAUGAGACCUUUCCUGCUUCAACCACAACUCCACCCACCUAUCAAAAUACCCAUCUCAUGACCACUAGAGCCAAAAACAACAUCCACAAACCCUUAACCAAAAUGAAUUCUCUAAUACCAUCAGACAAUGAGAUUCAUAUGUUAACCAAGCCCUAAUCGAUCCUAAAUGGAGACAAGUUAUGAAUGAUGAAUUUGAUGCUCUUGUUCAUAAUGGAACUUGGGAGCUUGUUUCAUCUACUUCUAUGCAGAAUCUUGUUGGAUGUAAGUGGGUUUUUCGUAUUAAACAGCUUCUUGAUGGCUCUAUUGACAGGUAUAAAGCUAGAUUAGUUGCCAAAGGUUUUCAUCAGCGACCUGGCGUGGGUUAUCAUGACACCUUUAGUACGGUUGUCAAGCCAACAACAAUACAACUUAUUCUAAGCUUGGCAACUAGUAAAGGUUGGCAAUUGCGAUAGUUGGAUGUUAAUAAUGCCUUUCUUCAAGGCCAUCUUUUUGAAGAUGUCUACAUAGCCUAGCUUCCGGGAUUUGUUGAUAGAGAUAAUCCAACACAUGUAUGUAAAUUAAAGAAGGCUAUAUAUGGACUCAAGCAAGCCCCAUGGGCUUGGUAUCUUGAACUUCGCCAGUUCCUCAUUGAGUCUAGGUUCACAAACUCUCAUGCAGACACUUCUCUAUUCAUUCUCCACUCAGGUGAUAUUACUAUAUAUCUACUUGUUUAUGUGGAUGACAUUAUUAUCACAGGUACCAACACCAAUAUUAUUCAGCGCUACAUUUAUAACCUCAUGGCACAAAGAUUUUCAAUCAAGGAUCUUGGCGUUUUGUCCUACUUUCUCGGCAUUAAGGUUCUCACCACUCCAUCUGGUGUGUUGCUUACUCAAAGGCGCUAUAUCUCUGAUCUUCUUACCUAGACAAAAAUGUCUAGUGCAAAACCUAUUGCUACACCACUUGUUACAGAUGGAAAUCUCACACUUGAUUCAGGUACAACUUUGACUAACUGCAUAGAAUAUAGAACCCUUGUUGGCAGUCUACAGUAUCUUCACCUUACUCACCCAGACCUAUCAUAUGUUGUUAACAAGCUAUCACAAUUCAUGCAUCUCCCGACAUUUGAACAUUGGAAUGCUGCAAAACGACUGCUUCGAUAUUUGUGUGGCACAUUAACUCAUGGAUUAUUUAUUCAUAAGGCCAAUACACUUUCUCUUCAUGCCUUCUCAGAUGCAGAUUGGGUUGGCAACAAAGAUGACUACCUCUACGAGUGCCUAUUGAUUACUACUCAAAAGGUGUUAUUUCAUAGCUUGUAAUUAACUCUUUUAAACACUUUUGAGUAGUAGUUAUUGCCUUUUAACCCAAUUAACAUAUUAAGGACCUUUGCAAUCAUUUCUAAUCAAAGUGUGUAAGUUUUGGUAUUUUUGUUAGUAAUUUGAUCACCAAAGCAAUCUGAGAUUGAGGAGAGUUCUUUGGAAUCCUUGGCAAAGCAAUGGAAGACUCAAAAACAUGAAGAACCAAAGCUUUAAAGUCCUUUGCCAUAAGCAAAUUCGGAAUGCAAGGAGGGGAAGCAAACAAGAAUCAGCUAUGAAGCAUUCUUGAUGACAGUCAUCUCAGCCACUUUUGGAUCACUUUAUGGGGUUCAAUUUAUACAUUCUAUAUGUCGUUUCGAAGCUCAGGAAGUCAAAAAUCCAAUGCUUUAAACGGUGCAUGAUUCGGAGUUGAAAUGAAGGAGUUACAGCCAUUUCAAGCAGAUCACUCCAAGUUGAAGGAAGAUUUUUGCACGGCUGCGAAAUCAGCCUUUUGCUGCGAAAAUCUUAUCCUUUUGCUGUAAAAUUUUUGCAGCCAUUUUGCACAGUGCACGAGUGUUCUCCUGAAGCUUCCCGAUAUUUGCAACCGACAUUUUGAGAUUUUUUACUUUAGAUAUUUGAUGUCUAAAUUCCCAAACUCUCCUUGUAACCCACCUAUCAUAGGAUUCCUUAGUCUUUAAGCAAGAACAAAGGGUAAAUACACCCAUAUUUAAAGGUUGUAAGUUUCCUCAGAGAGGGGACGACGGACGAAAAACAGGGCUUGUACACAGACACUUUGUAUAGUUUUUGGAAAGAAGUAAAAUUGAGAGUUUUUGCUCUACCUUACCUACUUGUUUUGUUUGUUUAUAUUCAUCUAAUUUUUCUUACUAGCCAAACAAGCUCUGAGGAAGUUUCCUCAGAGAAUGAGUGGCUAGACUUUUAGUUCCUUGGAGCUAAGGUUGCCGGGAAAGGUUCCAAGUGCAAGAAUUAGUAGCUUUGUGGUUUCAACCAUUAAUGAAGAGGAAGUGUGAUCCUUUAAUGAUUUCUAUGUUUUUAGUUAACUUAAAACACCUUCAAUUCGCUUGAGCCAACACUUGGUAAGGCAAGUGAUCUCCGUCCAUAGAGAUGCACUAGUUUACCUCUUGCGAGCUUUUGGGAAGUGACUUGAAGGUAGGAUUUUCUAGAAUUGUCAACACUUGGUAAGUUUUUGGACUCCAAGGAGACAUCCAUUAGUUAUCUCUUGCGAGCUUGAGAAGGGAAGUCCAAAGUUAAAGAUCACCUUGAAUGGAAAAUGCUAAGUGAGAGGCACGAGCCAUUGCAAGUUGCAUUAGUGAGAGGGAAUUAGAGCUGAAAUCCAUUUAAAGGAUAUAUCUAUACAACACCGGUUAGAGAAUUGACUAUAUGUUAAUUCUCUAAUGCGAGGAAAGGAACCAAAUGACCGGAGCUCUGUUUUUGCAUAAGGAACCUCCCCUGUGAACCCAAACCUCCAAGGAAUGUUUUUCUUCAUAAGUAAUUUCCAUUACUUUCUUUUUAGUUAGCUUGAAACAAAACCUCGUUUAACCAAAGUUUGUGUUUUAUUUUUUAAGCUAACUUUGAAAUGAAAAAACACCAAUUUAACUUUGAAUUGGUAUCAGUUGUGAGUUGAAAACCCUUCCCAGAGAACGAUCAUAGAGCCACUAUGCUAUAUUAGCUAAAGCUAUCCUAAUGCAUGGUGAUAUAGGUUAUAAAUUUUGUUGAUUACUCCCUCAAUCAAAGAGCACUAGCUGGACAUGAAUCAACUGAGACACCAAUUGGGCAUGAAUCACCUAUAUUGUCUAUCUUGGUCGUCAUCUAAUUUCUUGGUCAUUCAAGAAACAGCGUACAGUUGCUCGGUCAUCCAUAGAGGUUGAGUAUCGAUUAGUUGCCACUACUACUUCAGAAAUCAAUUGCAUUUGUUCCUUUCUCAUAGAGCUUGGCGUCACUCUUCCUACACAGCCUGUUAUCUAUUGUAACAAUGUUGGUGCCACCUAUCUCUAUUCUAAUCCAGUCUUUUCAUUUGCACAUGAAACAUGUGGAAAUUGACUAUCACUUUAUUUGGGAUCAAGUUCAAUCAGGUGCUCUUCGUGUUACUCAUGUUUCCUCAGCAGAUCAACUUGCCGACACUCUUACUAAACCCCUUCCACAAAGCAGCUUUCAAGAAUUACGAGUCAAGAUUGGCAUCUCCUCUGAAGCUCCAUUUUGAGGGGGCAUAUUAGAGAAUUCAUUACAAUAUAUUUUAUUUAUAUUUUCAAAUUCUUGUAAUUAGUUGUAGUUUCCUAUUUUUGUUGUAAUCCCCUAAUUCAAGGAUUGUUUCCUAUUUUUGUGUUUUGGCUAGAUUGUUUCCUAUUUUUGUGUUUUAGGUUUUGUGUAUAUAUAUUCAUUUUUAAUCAAUGGAAAAGUCAAGCCAUUAUUUCUCAAUAAUCCUCUCUCUAUUUCAACAUCGCGUGCCUUGGCCUUGAACCAAUGCAGCAGCCAUGGUAAUUAGUAGUAGAAACAACAAUAUGGAUGUGAGGGCGGCCAUUAAUACUCUAGCUAGGGAAGGAUUUUAAGAUGGUGAAGAAGAGAGCUACGAUAUGUUAUAUGGUAUUGGCAUAAAUAGUCUUUCCUUCCAAAACCGAGUUUAAAUUUUAGAACUUCCAAUUUCUUCCUUUGAUUAAUGUAAUUUAAACUAGACUUUUAUAGGUUGUGUUGACAAUUUGAAAGGAAAAGUAUGCAAUAUUUUAAUUAUACUUUUUACACAUUCCUUCUCUUUUAUGUAUUAACAUUUAUUUUCUGAAAAAUAAUAUAUAUCAACCAACAUUAAACCAAAAAAUAAUUAAAUCAGUCAUUAAAGGUGUAACUCCCAUACGACAAUCUUUGUUCCUUUCGCUUUGAGCAUUCAUUUGAGAAAUAUGAGAAAUGGUUUGUUUCUACUAUCUUAUUUAUUUUCUUUCGUUGACGGAAAGUCAAAUGUUGAAAUUCUCAAACCCGCUUUGAAGUGGCAUUUGUUAUAAAUAACAUUUAAUUAAUUUAUUUAAAGUUUUCAAAUUCAUUUUUUAAUUACUAGUUAUUAUAAAUAAUCUUUAUUUAUGUAAACUAUAGAAAGACUUUUAAAAAUAAGAUAUAUGAUGAGAUAAAUAGAUUUCAAGUAUUAGAUGAUUUAGAAAAGUGAAUUGAGAAAAAAAAAGUUAUAAAAAGUUACUUAAUAUUAUAUUAUGAAGUUUUAUUUAGUAUAUUAUAAAUUUUUCGUUGCUAUAUAUGUAUGCAUUUUACCAAUUAUUAAUUUAUAUUUUCUCGAGCCUUUAAGAAUUUCUAAAAAUAUUAUUAUUUUAUACAUUUAAUAAGGUUAUUAAGUUAGCACACUAGUUUGAGUCAAGACCAAAAGAUUUUAUUAUUUAAAUUUAUUAAUUUAUUGAACAAUCAUUUAUAGAGGUUUUAUUAUAUAUAGAAAAACCCGUCUAACAAACACAUGAAUGUUAGAUUAUAUAGAGACGUUUAUAAAAUAUUAUACUAUCCAUAUAUUAAUUAUUUGGGUCUUUUCAUUUAUUUAUGAUAAAAAUCUCAAUAGAAGAAGUUAUUUAACAUUUAAAUAUAAUUUAAUGUUAACGUUAUGUCAAGAAAAAAGUUUUAAGGUUUAAAUUAAGAUCCCAGCUAUUCUUCAUGCUACUUAGUAGUAUAUUAAUGGAGAUAACACCAGGAUCGUAAUCAACAAUCCAAUCAGCAGGAUGUCCUUCAUUCGCAUGGAACUUAGAAGUAUGUUAAUGAAGAAAACACCAGGCAGAUGAACUUCCUAUCGACUUUAAUCUAAAUUCCAGCUACAUAUGGGUAUGGCAAACCCAUCCACCAAAUCUAUUUGAUUAUUUGGAAGUGAUGGAUCAGAAGUUGAACUAACAACACCAAGCUCUUCCCAAUCCCAACAGCUCAGCUUUCCAUAUUCUCCCAAACGCUGCAUCGCAAAAACAUUAUCCCUCAUCUAUAAAACCCCAAAGCCAACCCCUUGUAUGCAAACCAUUCUCAGACGAAACUUCUAUCCUCAUUCAAAACUCUCAGUCUUUUAGCAUUUCAGAAAUGGCUCAUCACCAUGAACCAUCCAUUCUGUUGCCUCUACUGUUCAUCACUCUGUCCCUAAUGAGUGGCAAAGAAGUUCUUGCAUCUCGUCACCUUGUCGAAACCACAUUGCCUACGGUUCCUGAGCUUCCUAAGGUGGAAUUACAACCUCUUCCUACACUCCCUACUUUGCCUAAAUUUGAACUUCCACCUCUGCCUCAUGUCCCAACUCUACAAGAGCCCCAGCUGCCAACUUUGCCCAAGCCUGAAUUGCCAACCGUUCCACAUGUCCCAGCUUUGGAGAAGCCUGAACUGCCAGAAUUGCCUAGUCUGCCCCAUCUACCUGACCUGCCUAAGCCCACACUACCUACCAUCCCAACCCUUCCCUUCUCUUUCCCCACCCCACUCAACCACUAGCCCUUGAGCUUUUCCCGUGCUGAGUUUCAUAUCAUUAUCGCAGUCUUAUUAGAUUUUCGGAUGGAGUAGAGAUUGAUAUGGGAAGGAAUCCUUGAAAUCCAGGGUUGCACUCUGGCUCAUAUGUGUGUGGACUCUGUUUUCUUUUGUAGUUUUCUAUUGCAUUGUACUGAUUUGUGAUUGUGGUUGAUUUAUGAGGGAGCGUCUGAUGUGUGGAACUGGGUUCUGUUUGAAGUUACUUGUAUACUCUCAUGGUUGUUAAUUAUUUAUCUUGCAAAUGCCUUUUGAAGUGGAACUUGAAAAUGCCUUUUGAAGUGGAACUUGAAGUACAAACAAUAAUCUAGCUUUUGAUUAGAUGUUAGGCUUUAAUUCCUUGUUGAGAAAAUAGUGCGGUGCAAUGCACUUUCUUGGAUUUAAAGAAUACCGAACACAACACAAUGCUAAUAAUGACAACAAAGAAUUAUCACAAUAUAUUAUUUCACUUCAAAACCAGCAGCCUAUUUAUAGGUUGCAGCAACUGCUUAAAUAUUAAAUUAUGACUUUACUAUUUCUAUACAUACAAAAUAUUUUUUGAAAUUAAAUAAAUAAGUUAUAAAUUAAAUAGGACAUAAUUAAUAGUUUAGAUUCUUUAAUAAAAAUUAAAAUUUUUAAGAAUAAUUUUGAAUUCAAAAAAUCUAAUUAAUUGUGAAUUAAAUAAAAAUAUUUUAGAAUAUUAUGUUUGUAAUUCAAUAUUAAAAAUCUAAUUGAUUGUCAGUCUUUUACUAAUGAUUAAUGUAAUCAUGGCUUCAAUUUAAAAUUUGUGUCACUAUAACUAUUAACAAUUAUAAAGUAGGUAUAUAUGGGAUCUAUCUUCUUGAUUUUAAUUUUUUUAAUAGAAUUAAAUGUUUGAUAAAGAUUUAAAAUAUAUAUAUAUAUAUAUAUAUAUAUAUAUAUAUUAAAGGUAGGCAUAAUAAUAUUUUUUUUUUAAAUUUUAAUAUAGAUCUCUAGCUUCUGCACUUGAUGAACUCACAUGGUCUACAUUUCUCCUUCGAGAUAUUAGCAUUCAAUUACACAAGCCACCUCAACUAUUCACAGAUAAUAUGAGUGCCUUACAUAUGUCCAAAAAUCCUAUGUUUCAUGCCAACACGAAACGCAUUGAACUUGAUUAUCACUUCAUACAAGAAAGGUGGCAAUUGGAAUACUCCUUACUAGACAUAUUCCUUCUACAUUUCAAAUUGUUGAUAUACUCACGAAGUCUCUUUCACACCACUCAACUCAUGUCUUUUGGUUCAAUCUAGGUGUUCAUUGCAUUCCUUUCUCCAGCUUGAGGGGGCAUGAUAGAUACGUCUAUAGGAAACCUUGGAUUACUCCAUUCUCAUGCCCUGGAUCUCAUAGUAUGCAUGAAAAAUCUAUCUAAGGCUCUCUAAAUCUAUUGUGAUGGAAAACCAUGUAAUCAAAAAUCAAUAUUGAUACCAUAGAAAUCAUAGAUUUAAGGAAUAAAACCACAUACCUUUGAUUUGGAUGUUAUUGGAUUAAUUCCAAUCGAUGUAGAUAACUCCGAAGUCGUAAUAGGUCUCAUAAACACCAUGAUCUUUCGCCCGAUAACUCCUCCUUAUGUUUAGGCGCUAAGAUGAUGGAUAUCUCACUCUUUGGACUUUACGGAUAAAAUGGUAAUACACAGAAACUCUAACUCCUAAAGGGGUAUUUAUAGGCUUCUUAUUGGGUGUAAGUUACUUAAGCCUACCAUGGGCUUGAGUCACUUAAUCUUGCCCAAAAAGGUUGCUAAUUGAUUAAUUAAUCAUAUAUGACCCUAAUUAAUUAAUUAGACUAGUCCAAAGAUACCAUUCACUUGUUCUUAUGUAAUCUUACAUAAUUACCAAAAUGAUCUUAUGCACAAAAGUGAACUAAAACCUCAUCAAACCUUUAGAAACCAUGUCAUUAAGGAAUAUGAGCUUAGAGUAGUGAUCACUGGGAUCCAUAAGAGUACUAGCUCCCUGAUAAUCGAAUUCUAAAAUUGACUCAACAUCCCACUACAAAGAGUUAAUUGCACUCCAGUACCCUAUGUAUAUUAAAACAAGACACCAAGUGCUUGAGUUCGUGACCUACUAUCCACUAUAUGCAAACCCCCUAUGAACUAGUGUUUGUAAUCUACCAAGGUAGUACUAUCACCUAUCAAGAUUACCUCUCAAAUCCUUGAGUUAUAGAUCUCACUUAUUAUGUGAUUAAUCAACAUACUCUAGAUCCAAGGAGCAUAUGUUAAAUUCCACUAAAGAAAUUACUAUGACCACAAAUUUCAUGAUCGUAUGUCCUUUGGUUCACGCAAGGGAACACAUUACUUCAGUCCCAUGGGAUAUCAUGGUGUCUCUAUUGAGAAUAUUUGUUGCCACCAACCUCUAUCAAUAGUGACCCGAUCUAUAGGGAUAUAUGACUACUUUAGGGUCUCACCCAUAAGUCAAAGCCUCUUGUAGAUUUUAGUACAACCUCAAUAUCCUCUCAAGGUUGAGAGUCUAUGCAGUAUAGUAGUUUGGUGAAUCAUGAAUUUGAUAAUCUUAUAUCAUAAUUCACCGUAGGUCUUAUCCAGUGUGCAUUACAUACAUUAGCGUACUCACCAUGGGAAACCCAUCUCAACGACCAAGAUAAGUCAUCCCUCUAAUUGGGGAUAGUGCACUACAAUCUCUACUAGAUUGCCCAAAUGCAUGAACCAUUGUAAACAACUUAUCUACUUGCAAGAAACUCAUGACUUGUAUCUUAUGUGCAACUUCUAAUGCACUUAAGUCAUGUACAAUGUAAGAGACAUGGACUGAAUGCUCAAAUCAAUGUAAAUACGCUAAAAGGAUAGUAAGGGAAUAAUUAAGUCUAACUUUGUUAUAUCAUGUUUUGCUUUUAGAGGCUUAAUCCCAACAAUGUCUAUCAAAUUAGAAUUUACAUGCAUUGGUAAAAGAAUAAUUUAUUUUAGUUUCGGUAGACCAGAAUUUGAGAACCAAUUUCCUUAUAGCCAUUGUACUCAAAAUCAACAAACCAAAAUGACAUGAUAAGAUACCUCCAGCAAACCAAAAUUAACAUGUACUGCUAGAAGACAAAUUUCCAAGUUUCAGCAAACUAGAAUCUAAGGAUCAAUUUCCUUAUAGUCAUUGCACUCAAAAUCAAUAAAUCAUAAUCAAAUUAGAAUCAACUUGCACUGGAAAAAUAAUUUCAAACAACCUAGAAUAUUUUUUGGAACAAUAAGUCGUAAUUUUUUUAUUUUAGCAUGGUCAAUGCAAUAAUUAAAAGGAAAGAAAUUGACUACGCUGAAAUAAAAUAAAUUUUGACCUACUGUUCCAAAAAAUUUGUUAUCUAGUUGGAAAUUAUUUUGCUAGUGCAAGCUGAUUCCAAUUUGUAGAUUAUGAGUGCAAUAGCUAUAGGGAAACUGAUCCUUAGAUUCUAGUUUGCUAAAUCUUGGAAAUUAUUUUUGAAACUUGGAAAUUAGUCUUCUAGUAGUACUUAUUGAUUCUGGUUUGCUGAUUUUGAGUACAACGACUACAAGGAAAUUGGUCCUCAAAUUCUAGUUUGCUCAAAUGGAAAUAAAUUAUUCUUUACCAAUGCAUACUAAUUUUGAUUUGUCGGACGUAUCUUAUUUAGUUUUUUUUUUUUUUUUUCAACAUGGUCAAUUUCUUCAUUUUUAAUUGUUGUCAACAAGAUCACUACUAACACUACAAGAAUUUAUUUUCCUUUCAUUAACCAACCUUUCCUUAAUUAUUCAACUAAUGUAUUUUGUAAUAUCCCUUCCUAAUUAGCCUUCCUUAGACAACCACUAAUGUUGACUAAGUCUAACGAUGGUUUCAGGCACCUAUAUAUAUUACCAUAACAGAAAAAUAAAUCAGUGAUAGUGAAUUAUUCUCGGUUAUUUUAAUCAUUCUUCUAAUAUUUUUUACAAAAUUCUUCAUGCAUGUAUUCAACAAUAGAUUUUCCUUAUUGAAUUUCAUCAGGGUGUCGAGGAGAUGAAGCAUACGUGUAUUGGAUCUAUUCACAUAUGUGGUCUUGAGUUUUGGCCAUGCUUCUAAAGGAAGAGUAUAUAGUAAAGAGAUAGUGAUUCGUUUGCCCCAGCUGGUGUCUUCUAAUUUAGUCUUCAGACGGGAAUAAUCAACAAAAUUUAUAACCUAUUUCACCAUGUACUAGGAUAGCCUCAGCUAGCAUAACAUAGUGGCUCUAGGAUCGUUCACUGGGAUGGGUUUUCAUUUCACACCUGAUAUUAGUUUAAAGAAUUGGAUUGGUGUUUUUUCUUUUCCAAGUUAGCUUUAAAAGAAAACAAAAUCUUUAAUUUGGAAAAGGUUGGUUUUAAACUAACCAAAAAUAGUAACUGAGUUUAAUUACAACGAAAAUGGUCUCUUGGAUUUUCAGGUCACUAGGUUCAGGCCCCUUACACAAAAAAUGGAGAUUCUGGAUCUUUCCUUGAUUGGGGAUUUAACCGAUAGUUAUCCUCUCAACCGGUGUGUUAUAGUUGCUUCUCAUUAAUGGUUUCAACGCUAAUUCCCUCUCACUGAUGCAUCUUGCAAUGGCUCGUGCCUCUCACCUAGCAUUUGCCAUUCAAGGUGAUCCUUAACCUUGGAUUACCUUUCACAAGCUCGCAAGAGAUAACUAAUGGAUGUCUCCUUAGAGUCCAAAAGCUUACCAAGUGUUGGCUAUUCUAGAAAAUCAUACCUUUAAACCACCUACUAGAGGCUCGCAAGAGAUAAACUAGUGUAACUCAAUGCAUGGAGUCCACUUGCCUUACCAAGUGUUGACCCAGGUGAUUUUAAGGCGUUUUAAGUUAACUAAAAAUAUAAAAACCAUUACCAGGUCACAACUUCCUCUUCAUUAAAAAUUUGAAACAAGGAAAACUCUCACUUUUGUAGUCGGGUCCCUUACUAAGCUCCCUUCCGUCCAAGAGACAAAAAGUCUAGUCACUCAACCUCUGAGAAAACAUCUUCAGAGGUUGUUUAGCUAGAAUGAAAAAUACAAUCAAAACGAGAAGGUAAGGUAGAGCAACGCUCUGUAUAUUUCUUACUAAAAACAUGUACAAGUGAUCCCCUCUCCAAUGUCUUCCCUUCUUCACAGAGACGAAAGAUAUCAGAUAUGGUUUUUGAGAUAUGGAAAAAUGUAUCGGGGAUUGUCUCUCGGGGAUCUUUUUUACAAGGAGAUAUCUUAGGAUAUAUAAAGGGAGAUAUUUUCAACCUCUUAAUUAGAUAUCCUAAAUAUCCUAAAAGAUCUUCAACUGAUUACAAGGAGAGAAUUGAUAAUUUACACCAAAUAUCUUAAGGUAAAAAGAUCUAAAAGAGGCGGUGUAAAAUAUCUAGCUAUUACAUUUUAGCAUUAGAGACAGGUGGUGCGAAAAAUUUCGCAUCGGAGAAAGUCAGUGUGGAAAUUUUCGCAUUGGGAAAGUGUGCUGUGAAAAUUUUCGCAUUGAGAAAUGUCAGUGCGAAAAUUUUCGCAUCAAGGAAUGUCAAUGCAAAAAUUUUCGCAUCAGGAAAUGUCAAUGCAAAUUCCUCCUCAACUUUGCGCAGUCGCCUUCAAACGGCCAUAACUUCCUCGUUUCAGUUCCAAAUUGCACACUGUUUGAAAGUUGGACUCCUGACUUCUCGAGCUUCAAAAUGAUAUAUAGCAUAUAAAAAUUAGACUCCAAGAAGUGCUCCAAAUUUGCCUUGCAACUUCUGUCCUUUGAAUUUCGCAUAGCAUGUGAAGAUUUCGCAUCACCAUGCAAAAUUGCUUCAUGAUGGAUUUCUCUCUCUGAUCCUCUUCCUUGCAUCUCUUGAUUGGCUUGGAAACUCAUUCCCAAGGGUUGCACAAAGUUCUCUCUCAUUCUUGGCUUUCUUCAAUGAUCAAAAAGCUAUCAAAAACACCAAAACUAGCCAAAAUUUUGAUUAAAAACAUAUGCAAAGGUCCUUAAUGUGCCAAUUGAGUUAAAAGGUAUUAAUUACUACUCAAAAGUGUUUAAAAGAGUUUAUAACAAGCUAUAAAAGAGUACUUUUUGAGUAGUAAUCACUCCCCCCAACCGACAUAUUGCUAGUCCCUUAGCAAUGAAGAAGAGAAAAACAAAACAAAAAUUAAGAUAAUAAUAUAAUUUACAAAAUCAUGUUGAUCACUUCCAAAAAAUCAUAAGUGGCAUGAUUGCAAAACAUACUCUCACAUGGAACAUUAAAGAAACAAAACUCAUCCUUCAACAAGAGGGUAUCAAAACUCUUACCUGAUCAUAAUUCAUAAAGAGUAGGCAUUAUGCAAAUUUAAGUCAUGAUAGGAUUUCCAUUCUCCUAGGCUCAAUCAGUACUCUUCCAAAAAAAUCUAAGUGUUAUUUAUUAGCUUCCGAAUAUAGUACUCUGAACUAAUCUCUCCCCCCAACCUAGUUCUUUCACAGACUUCAGCAAACUGACCACUUUCAAUAGGCUAAGAACGCACCUCUUUUAUUUCACAAUUUUUUUCUUGUAGGAGUGCAAUGCUAAAGGUAUUAUUUUCUAAAGUGUCCAUGUAACGGGGGUCCAUCGAUGACUCCCAACCAAUCAAGGUUUAGGGCAUCAAGCUUUAAGGAUCUUUCAACCACUAACUCCUCGGAUUUUACCCCGGACUUUUGAAAUUGAAACUUAAUACCUAAGCACCUACAAUAUGUUAAACUCUACCUAUUCACCCUUGUAACGAGCAGUGAGGUCGGUGACUCCCAACCAAUUAAGGCUUAGGGCACCAGGUUUAAAAGAUUUUCACCAUAUACCCCUCGGACCUUACUCGGGUUUCAAAGCAAGUAAAACACUUUGUUCUUUCUCUUUUUUUUUCUUUUUUUUUUUUCAAGACUCAUUGGCCUUUUAUAAGGUGUCCCAACACUAUUAAAAUGAGGUCAAAGGUACUAAGUCUAAAUUUUCCUAAGUUGAAGAGGUGAGAUAGUUUAUCAUCUUAUAAUCGGAAUCUAAAGUGCACAGUGUGUGGUAAGAUUAAAGUGGAAGAAAUAAGGUUGAAUUCAAUAGGAGUUUCAAUAAUUCAUCAACCUCAAUAAGCAUAAUACGACUCUACUAAUCAAAUAAAAAGGCGAGAAUUCAAUUUCUCUCAUUUCAUUUUGAGAAUUUUUCCUUAAUAACCAUGUAGAGUAGAGUAAAACUUUUAAAAUUAAGAAAAAAUUUAAAAAUUUGAAAAAAUUAAGCAAAAAGUACUAAAUUAACAAGAUAAAUUAACAUUAUUAACAACUUCCUUCCUUUACUCUCCCCUCAACCAAGAUCAACAUUGUCCUCAAUGUGUCAAGAACGAUUAUAAAUAAAGGGAGGAAAUGGUACCUCCUUAGUGACAUGGAGUCUGAGUCGUAUAGGAAAAACCACAUGAUUCAAAAAAUAAAAGAUUAAUGAGUAAAGGAGAUAGAAAGUGCCAAGUAUAAACAAAAAUCAUAUGUAUAUAUUACUCUAAGAAAGUACAAUGAAAUGAUCAUGCAAUACAUCCAAUCCCAGAAUAUAUAAUAUCAACUAAUAUACUAAGUAAAUACAAUAUAAAGAAAUGAUCAAGGAGCGGGGUCCUCUAGUGGACAUGAUGGCUCUGGGGCUGUCUCAUGAGUGACUUGAGGUGGGACUUCAGCUGUGAUGGUCUCCUUAGUGGAGCUCUUGGCUUUGAUGGCCCAGGAAUAUCAGUCUGAGGUGGCGCAAGACCCAGAUGCUAUUGUAUCUGACGAAGGAUAGCAGUAUGCUGGUCAAGAAUAAUAGAAUGUCGAUCCUGCUGAUCUCGGAUGUCUCUCAUCUUCCAAAAUAGAGCGUCUUGUGUGGUGUUGAGUGUUCUGAAUAAUAAUACCAUACCAUGAAACUCUGAGCCAGAAAUGGUGAUAAAGUCCUAUGAUGGAGGAGGUACAACUGGUGGAACAGGUGGUGUAGCUGGAGGAUCAGUAGAGGCGGCCUGAGGCAUAGAUGGUGCAGCAGGAGUUGAUGGAAUAGACUCUGUGGGAUGCUCGUCCUGCUGUGCCUGGUUAGGCUGUGCUGGUACUGCAGGUACUGGCACUAGAGAUACUGGCCUGGGUAGGACUGCUUCAGCUGAAUUCCUCUCUGCUAGCUAUGUCCAUUGGUCAAGAGUGAAAUGCUCUCGACAAUGGUGGCUGCGCUCGAGAUGGGGCUCAUUAAGGUAGCCCAUAUGCUCCAAGAUAUGGCAGAGAAGCCUCGGAAAUAGUAAUGGAAUUGCAUGAGAGCGUCUAUGAUCAGAUGGUGUGGACCAAAAUAGAAACCCAUAUAUAUCUCGUAUAGUGCAUCCAAAAUAGGUCCUUGCCUUUGCACUGAAUGCUGGAGAGGGAAAAUAUUGGACCUUAACAAUACAUCUACUAUGAGCAUCUCAGAUGGAAGGUCCUUACGUAGCAGGCAUGUAUCUCCAGAAGUCCCUUGUGAUAGAAUGCAAACCAUGUUUCUCUGAGAUGUGGAGGUCCACUGUCUGAACUGCUCUGGAUCCUCUGGCUGAAAUGGAAUGUGGAGAGCCUCAAUAAUAUGCCUAGCCUUUAAGAUACCAUGACAUCCGUCUAUACUGAAACGAAUGGCUAUGGAACCUUGGACGUCCUAAGUAGUCAUGGACUGAUAGAAAUCCAUCGCUACUCUGGGAUAGAAAAACUCUCUAGGAGUCAUCAGACACUCGAGAUGGUACCUCUGGAGCAAUCCAAACGAAUCCCAAAGGUCUGGCUGCUGUCGCAUAGCCUCUAUCUCGAAGUAGAGCUCAUAGUGAAAUGGUUUGGCUCUACAAUCCAAAUUACCAAGAAUGGGAGGCGUAGUAAACAUUGGUCUCUUGAUGAUGACUUCAGGAGUAGUUCCUGAAGGUCUCUGAAUAUCUUCUAGGGCCUAAGAAUUGGCUGGAGCCUGACUAGAUGUCUCUCCAAGGCCCGAGGUUCUGUCUCUCUUUGGUGGAACACGGCGUACUGAUGGCUCUAGGGGUGGAGAAAUUGGCGGUCUCCGUGUCGAAUACCGGCGCUGAGGAGGGUUAAAAGGCACCACACUCUCAGGAAAUGGUACGGUCAGGGCCUGAGAGGCCUGAGAUGGAUCCUGAGGAGCAGAGGCCCUUGGCCGAGCCUCGCGAGAUGCGAACGGGUCUGUAUGGCCUCCUUUGGUGCGCACCAUAGCUGAUAUGGACGAGAUGUGGAUUGCUUUGCUUCUCUUUGGUGGACACGAGGCGUGGAUUGAUGAGGAUUUUUUAUCACAAGGCAGCAGUGAGCUCUUCGCAACAGAGGACGUUUGUGCCAAAUGGUGAGCUGGAGGCCUUUAGAUAAAAAAUUAAAAUGACUUUUGGCUUACCUCUUGGCCAUUAAGUGACCGUUGGCAUUUCGCAUGAGUAGUGGCAGAUGCGAAAUUGAAAUGCCUAAUGCAAAAUUGGAAUGCCUGAUGCGAAAAGGCGGUGCGAAAUUUUUCGCAUUGAGUAGUGGCGGUACGAAGCUGAUGCGAAAUUUUCGCAGUCAGUUCGCAUGGAGAAUCGGCGGUGCAAAAAUUUUCGCACUGAGUUCGCACUGAGAAUGGGUGAUGCGAAACUGAUGCGAAAUUUUUCGCAUUGGGUUCGCACUGAAUUCGCAUUGAGAAUGACCGGUGCUAAUUUUUUCGCAUUGGUUUCACACUGAGUUUUGGCGAUGCGAAUUUGUUUCGCAUUGAGAAAAGUUGAUGCGAAAUUUUUCGCAUUGGGUUCGCAUUGAGUAUGGUCGGUGCGAAAUACUUUGUUUUCCUCUAUUUUUGACUUCCCCUGCUCUGAACAUAAAAAAUUUAAGCUAAAUCAUAAUAAAAUUAAAUUAAAGCUAGAAAUUCUAACUUAAAAACAUAUAUCAAAUCUAUAAAACUUGAAAUAUAAGAAUUUAAAACAAAACAACAAGUAAAAAUUCAAAAAAUAUGGACUUAGUGUCUUCCAACAGACUAAGCCCAUCUAACCAUUUUUCUUCAGGCUUGAUGUGGUUCAAGGAGGUUGAUUUCCUCCUUGUCUUUAGAAAAUGGCUCCAAGAAUGGCUUCAAACGUUGGCCAUUGACUUUGAAAGUCCCGGUACUGCUGAGUAGCUCAAUUACUCCAUUUGAAUAGACUUCAUGGGUAGUAAACGGACCUAUCCAUCUUGAUUUCAAUUUUCUCGGGAAGAUAUGGAGCUUAGAGUCAUAAAGCAAGACUCUUUGUCCCUUCUGAAAUUGUUUGCAGGAGAUUAACUGAUUAUGCCACCUUUUCAAUCUCUGUUUUGCAAUGUUUGAAUUGAUAUAGGCGUCAUUUCUCAAUUCCUCCAUCUCAUUAAGCUCUAGAAAUCUCUUCAUGCCGGCUCUGUUCAAGUCCAUGUUGAGUGUCUUGAUUGCCCACCAGGCUUUGUAUUGCACUUCAACUGGGAGAUGGUACGCUUUGCCAUAGACUAGGCGAUAUGGAGACAUUCCAAGAAUGGUCUUGUAAGCUGUCCUGUAAGCACAUAGUGAAUCAUGAAGUCUAAUAGACCAAUCUCUUCUACUCAUAUUCACCACUUUCAUCAGUAUGUUCUUUAUCUCCCAGUUGGCUAACUCAACUUGCCCUGAAGUCUGAGGGUGAUAAGAUGUAGCUACCUUAUGCUUUACCCCAUACUUGGCUAAGAGAAUUUCAAACGAUUUGUUACAAAAAUGAGUACCCCCAUCACUGAUUAUGGCUUUGGGUACUCCAAAUCUAGAGAAGAUGUUCUCUUUGAGAAAUUUGAGAACAACCCUAUGGUCAUUUCGCUUGCACGAGAUUGCUUCAACCCAUUUAGAAACACAAUCCACUCCCACCAAGAUGUAAGAAUAACCGAAGGACAUAGGAAAAGGUCCCAUGAAGUCAAUGCCCCAUAUAUAAAAAAGAUCAACUAUUAAAAUGGGAUUCAAAGGCUGAGUUCUUACGUGUUAAUUUCCCAAGCCUUUGGCAUUUGUCACAGCUUCUACACUUGGUGAGGGCGUCUUUAAAGAGUGAUGGCCAGCAAAAACCCGAUUGUAACACUUUCAUGGCUGUCUUCUGAGAAGCAAAGUGGCCUCCACAUGUGCUCUCAUGGUAAUGACUGAGGAUCCCCUGUUGCUCUUACUCAGGGACGCACUUCCGGAUUAUUUGAUCCACACAAUAUUUGAAUAGGAAUGGCUCUUCCCAGUAGUAAGCAUGAAUUUUUGCAAAGAAGUGCUUCUUAUCUUAUGCUUUCCACUCACUUGGAACUUCUCCAGUAACUAAAUAGUUAGCAAUAUGAGCAUACCAAGGAACGACUUCAAUCAACAUGAGUGACUCCCCUGGAAAAUCAUCAUUUAUUGGCAGACUGUGGGAAUUAUGUGCUAUGGCUAGCCUCGACAAAUGGUCGGCUACCACAUUUUCCACUCCCUUCUUGUCUUUGAUCUGAAGACUGAAUUCUUGAAGCAAGAGAAUCCAUCUGAUUAGCCUUGCUUUUGCAUCUUGUUUAGUCAACAAAUAUUUUAAGGCUGAAUGGUCAGUGAAAACCACAAUGAAAGACCCUACCAAGUAAGUGCGGAAUUUGUCUAAGGCAAAAACUACCGCCAGCAAUUCUUUCUCAGUGGUUGUGUAGUUUCUUUGCGCUUCAUUCAACAUUUUGCUUGCAUAGUAGAUCACAUAGGGCUUUCCAUUUUCUCUUUGCCCAAGAACAGCUCCUAUAGCAAAGUCACUAGCAUCGCACAUCACUUCAAAUGGUAAUUGCCAAUUGGGAGCUCUCACUAUUGGAGCGGUUGUCAGCAAUAACUUCAAUUCUUCAAAACUCUGUUGACAUCGAUCAUCCCAUACAAAUUUAGCAUCCUUCACUAAUAGCUCACAAAGAGGUCUUGCAAGUUUAGAGAAAUCUUUUAUGAACCUCCUAUAGAACCCAGCAUGGCCAAGGAAUUGUCUUACUCCUUUGAUAGUUGUUGGCGAUGGCAACUUGACAAUGAGUUCAACUUUUGCUUUGUCCACCUCAAUGCCUUGACUGGAGAUAAUAUGCCCAAGGACGAUCCCUUAGGGUACCAUGAAAUGGCAUUUCUCCCAGUUGAGAACCAAGUCCUUCUCAAUGGAUCGGUUCAACACAGCUUCCAAAUUGACUAAGCAUUCGUCAAAUGCACUUCCAUAUACGGUGAUAUCAUCCAUAAAGACUUCCAUAAUAUGCUCCAUCAUAUCACUAAAAAUGCUUAACAUGCAUCUUUGGAAUGUUGUUGGUGCAUUGCAUAAGUCGAAAGGCAUUCGUCUGUAUGCAUAAGUUCCGAAUGGACAAGUGAAAGUGGUCUUCUCCUGAUCUUCAACAGCAAUUUCAAUUUGAAAAUACCCGGAGUAGCCAUCCAAGAAACAGUAUAAUGGAUGGCCUGAGACCCUCUCAAGUACUUGAUCAAUAAACGGCAAUGGGAAGUGGUCAUUCCUUGUUACAGCAUUCAGCUUUCUAUAAUCAAUACACACCCUCCAACCUGAAGUGAGGCAUGUAGAAACUUCCUCUCCCUUAUCAUUUUGCACCACUGUGAUCCCUGAUUUCUUUGGCACGAUUUGCGUAGGACUCACCCAUGGGCUAUCUGAUAUGGGGUAGAUAAUACCGGCCUGAAGUAGCUUAAGCACCUCAGCUCGCACCACCUCUUGCAUGUGAGGAUUCAACCUUCGCUGGGGUUGACCAACUAGCUUAGCUUCUUCUUCCAUGUAUAUAUGAUGAGUACAAACUAAAGGGCUGAUCCCUUUCAAAUCAGAAAUUUUCCACCUUAUCGUCUUCUUACAUCUCCUGAGGAUUUCAAGUAGACAACCCUCCUGAGUAGUGGUAAGAGAUGAAGAAAUAACAACAGGGCUCUCCUUAUUCUCCUCUAGGUAUGCAUACUUCAACUCCGUGGGUAAUGGCUUGAGAAUAAGCUUUGGGGGUUCCUCUUCAAUGGAUUCUGGUGUCUCCUCCUCAUUGAAUAAAGGGAGAAUUUCUUCCCUCAUCUUCAAAUGAGGCAGAGUAGCAAGCGAAUCUAAGGGUUCAGGUAACCCUUCAUCAAGAUCCCCAAAGUUCUCGUUCAAGUCUUCUAGCAUCUUCUUAUCACAAUGCUCCUCCACUAAGUUAUCAACAAUACAUACCUCUUCUGGUCCUUCUUAUUCUCCCAGAUGGAAUUGUUUAUUGCACAUAUAGAAGAUGUUGAGUUCCAACGUCAUGUUGUUGAAUGUAAGCUACAUGACUCCAUUCCUACAACUGAUGAUGGCAUUUGAAGUAGCUAGGAAUGGUCUUCCAAGUAUGAUAGGAAUAUAGUUAGUUCCUUUGGCGAUCGGAUUCGUAUCAAGAACAACAAAGUCCAUUGGGUAGUAGAACUUGUCAACUUGAACUAGGACAUCUUCAAUCAUACCUCUUGGAAUUUUCAUAGAUCUAUCUGCUAGAGAUAGAGUGAUUGAUGUUGGCUUCAACUCUCCCAGUCCCAAUUGCUUAUAGACAAAGUAGGGUAGCAAAUUCACACUUGCUUCCAAGUCCAACAAAGCUUUCUCCACACACGUCUCUCCAAUCAUCAUUGAUAUGGUAGGACAGCCCGAAUCUUUGUAUUUCACUGGGGACUUACACUGUAUAAUGGAACUUACUUGCUCAGUUAAGAAGGCUUUCUUACUCACAUUCAACCCUCUUUUGAUAGUGCAUAAGUCCUUAAGGAAUUUGGCAUAAGUCGGAACUUGCUUGAUCAUGUCUAGCAAAGGGAUAUUAACUUUCACUUGCCUCAACACUUCAAGAAUUUUUUAUGCAUUGCUGAUUCCCUUCUUGCCAUGCAAAGCUUGAGGGAAAGGUGGAGGCAUGUGCUUCUUUAUCACUUCUUUUUGGUUAAUGGUCCUCUCCGGUUUUUCAUUCACCUUAGCUUCAAGGUCCUCCUUCUUUGUACUACUUCCUUUCUUCUUUCCUUUGUUUUCCUCCCUCUUCUCUUUCUUUACUUCAGACUCCGGUUCUUACUCUGGCUUGAGUGUAGGCAGAUCAACCUCUUUACCACUCCUUAGAGUGAUCACUACUUUGACUUCCCUCAUCUGAGAAUAUUCUCCCUCCUGAGCCUCCACUUCAUGGAUAGCCUUUGGAUUCUGAUGAGGUUGAGAAGGAAAUUUUCCUUUCUCUUGCACUGUGUUGAGAUUAGUAAGCCGUGAGAUCUGGUACUGGAGAUUAUCUAUCUUCUGAGAUAGAUCAUUGUGCUUCUCAUCCAUCCUUCUAUCUCUAUUGGUCAAUUCUUGCAUGAUAUGAGCAUUUUCUUGCCUGAUCUGAUCAUUGGUGGAUCUCUGGUCUGCAACAAAGUCUCCCACGACCUUGUUAAGAUUCAGAAUGGCUUGUUCAAGACUUGAAGCUUGUGGGGGUGUUUGGCCAGGUUGCGUGUAUUGAGGUGCCCUUGGCUUCCAAGAGAAAUCCGGAUGGUUCCUCCAAUUUGAAUUGUAGAUGUUGAUAUACAGAGCAUUAUUAUUGGGCUUGAACUGUCCAAUAAAAUUUGCUUGAUCCCCAAACAUUUCUCUCAUAGCUGGCAUCAUAGGACACUCUUCCACCAAAUGCUCAAAAGAUUGACAAAUUGAACAUGGCUUAACUUGCAUUGGUGUGUCUGAAAUGGCCUACACUCCAAGUUGCCCCAUUCUUCUUCUUGCCAAAGUUGCAUAAUUUGCUUUUGUAUGAGUACCUUCAUUCAAAAUAUACAUCCCAACCUUAGCAUUUGAAGCAUUUGGUUGAGAAUUCAUUCUUCCCACUUUUCUGGCAUUGGGCUCAUCCCAUCCUCUUAAAACUUCAGCUACAUAACUCAAGAAAUCCAUGGCUUCCUCCGGAUUCUAACUCAUGAAGUCUCCUCCGCACAUUGUUUCUAAGAGUUGCUUCAUUGAGGAAGACAUACCGUCAUAAAAAUAGCUCACCAAUAGCCAUGUAUCAAAGCCAUGGUGAGAACAAGUGUUGAUAGCUUCCAUGUAUCUUUCCCAACAUUCAUAGAAUUUCUCAUUCUCCUUAGUUGAGAAGUUUGAGAUUUGCCUUUUCAAGCCGUUUUUCCUGUGAGUUAGGAAAUUUUUUUUGAGAAAUUCAGCUUGCAAAUUAGUCUAAGAUCAGAUGCUCCUUGGCCUUAAAGAAUUAAGCCAAACUUUGGCCUUGUCCUUUAAAGUGAAAGGAAACAGCUUAAGCCUCAUCAAGUCGAUUGAAGCUCUUCCCUCUUGGAAAGUCUUGCAAACUUCUUCAAAUUCCUUGAUAUGCUGGUAGGGAUUCUCACAGUCCAUCCCAUGAAAAAUAGGUAGAAAUGGCACAAUAUGUGGUCGGAUCACUAGUUGCUCUGUAAGUGGCACUAUGCAUGAUGGUGUACUCAUACGAGGCGGAUGCAUACGGUCCCUCAUGGAUCGGUAUGCGUUGAGAUUUUCAGCUGGAGCAUGUUGACUAUGCUGAUCUUUAGGUAUAGCUUCCAUGACUUCCACUUCCAAUUCCAACUCUGUUUCGUGAGGAUUUUUUAUUUUCACAAGUCUUCCCUCACUGUCUUGUAUCCAAUAUGGCAUACACAACUAGCAAUAUCUGAAACAAAAAUAAAAACAAAGAAAACACAAGAAAAACAAUUCUAGAAAGAAAGAAAAUCACAGUUAAAUAAAAUCUAAUUUAAAAGCUAAACUAAAAAAAAUAGAGAUAAAUAAAAAGAAAUAAAAGAAAAAGUUAGUAAAGGAAAAGAAAAUUCACCAAACUUGUGAUGAAGAUCACAAGUAUUCUAAAAAGAUAACAUCACUGUGAAGUGGCACCAUCCCCGGCAGCGGCGCCAUUUGAUUCAUUUGCCCCAGCUGGUGUCUUCUAAUUCAGUCUUCAGACGAGAGUAAUCAAAAAAAUUUAUAACCUAUUUCACUAUGUACUAGGAUAACCUCAGCUAGCAUAGCAUAGUGGCUCUAGGAUCGUUCACUGGGAUGGGUUUUCAUUUCACACCUUAUAUUAGAUUAAAGAAUUGGAUUGGUGUUUUUUCUUUUCCAAGUUAGCUUUAAAAGAAAACAUAAUCUUUAUUUUGGAAAAGGUUGGUUUUAAACUAACCAAAAAUAGUAACUGAGUUUAAUUACAAAGAAAAUGGUCUCUUGGAUUUUCAGGUCACUAGGUUCAGGCCCCUUACACAAAAAAAUGGAGAUUCCGGACCUUUCCUCGCAUUGGGGAUUUAACCUAUAGUUAUCCUCCCAACCGGUGUGUUAUAGUUGCUUCUCAUUAAUGGUUUCAACGCUAAUUCCCUCUCACUGAUGCAUCUUGCAAUGGCUCGUGCCUCUUACCUAGCAUUUGCCAUUCAAGGUGAUCCUUAACCUUGGAUUACCCUUCACAAGCUCGCAAGAGAUAACUAAUGGAUGUCUCCUUAGAGUCCAAAAGCUUACCAAGUGUUGGCUAUUCUAAAAAAUCCUACCUUUAAACCACCUACCAGAAGCUCACAAGAGAUAAACUAGUGUAACUCAAUGGAUGGAGUCCACUUGCCUUACCAAGUGUUGGCCCAGGUGAUUUUAAGGCGUUUUAAGUUAAAUAAAAAUAUAAAAACCAUUACCAAGUCACAACUUCCUCUUCAUUAAAAAUUUGAAACAAGGAAAACUCUCACUUUUGUAGUCGGGUCCCUUACUAAGCUCCCUUCCGUCCAAGAGACAAAAAGUCUAGCCACUCAUCCUCUGAGAAAACAUCUUCAGAGGUUGUUUAGCUAGAAUGAAAAAUGCAAUCAAAACGAGAAGGUAAGGCAGAGCAACACUCUGUAUAUUUCUUACUAAAAACAUGUACAAGUGAUCCCUUUUCCAAUGUCUUCCUUUCUUCACAGAGACAAAAGAUAUCAUAGAUGGUUUUUGAGAUAUGGAAAAAUGUAUCGGGGGUUGUCUCUCGGGGAUUUUUUUUACAAGGAGAUAUCUUAGGAUAUAUAAAGAGAUAUAUUUUCAACCUCUUAAUUAGAUAUCCUAAAUAUCCUAAAAGAUCUUCAACUGAUUACAAUGAGAGAAUUGAUAAUUUACACCAAAUAUCUUAAGGUAAAAAUAUCUAAAAGAUACGGUGUAAAAUAUCUAGCUAUUAUAUUUUCGCAUCAGAGAAAAUCAGUGCGGAAAUUUUCGCAUUGGGAAAGUGUGCUGCGAAAAUUUUCGCAUUGAGAAAAGUCAGUGCGAAAAUUUUCGCAUCAGGGAAUGUCAAUGCAAAAAUUUUCACAUCAGGAAAUGUCAAUGCGAAAUUCCUCCUCAGCUUUGCGCAGUCGCCUUCAAACGGCCAUAACUUCCUCGUUUCAGCUCCAAAUUGCACACUAUUUGAAGGUUGGACUCUUGACUUCUCGAGCUUCGAAAUGAUAUAUAACAUAUAAAAAUUGGACUCCAAAAAGUGCUCCAAAUUUGCCUUGCAACUUCUGUCCUUUGAAUUUCACAUAGCAUGUGAAGAUUUCGCCUCACCAUGCAAAAUUGCUUCAUGAUGGAUUUCUCUCUCUGAUCUUCUUCCUUGCAUCUCUUGAUUGGCUUGGAAACUCAUUCCCAAGGGUUGCACAAAGUUCUCCCUCAUUCUUGGCUUUCUUCAAUGAUCAAAAAGCUAUCAAAAACACCAAAACUAGCCAAAAAUUGAUUAAAAACAUAUGCAAAGGUCCUUAAUGUGCCAAUUGAGUUAAAAUGUAUUCAUUACUACUCAAAAGUGUUUAAAAAAGUUUAUAACAAGCUAUAAAAGAGCACUUUUUGAGUAGUAAUCAGAUAGUGUGUUUUAGUGUUUUUGCUUGUCUCACAUAGGAAAAAGAGGAACACCUUUAGUGGGUAUAUUAAUUAACCUACUUUCAUUAGCCUAAUGGGCUUGUGGAAAGGUGUAGGGAAGCCUCGCACGCCCAAGGGGCCCAAAGUCCAUUUCAGUAGGGUUUUGGGAAAUUAGGGCUACAAUCCCUUAAUGUGCAUCGUGUGUGCACACAUACACUACACAAAGGUCCCCUCCCCCCAUCCUCCCACUGCGUAUGCGUGUGUGAGGUCAACUACUUUUUAAAAAAUUCAAAAUAAAAUUAUUUUUAAUUUUAUUUCUUUAAUUCCCAUUUGACUUAGUCUUUUAGUUUGGUUGAGUCUUCUAAUGCGUUGUUUCUUUCAAGAGACUAAGUAGCUAGUCUCAUGUUUGUGGGCUAGUGGUUCCGAUUUUAUGGGAGACCUGUUGGGACUUUGCCUGUAAAAGCAUAACACCCCUUGAGUUCUCUACAUUGCAUUUUCCUAAGAGUUUUCCCAUUUUAUGUUCUUCAUCCCUCUCUAUUCUACAUUCAAAGCCUCAUGUGUUCUGAAAUCUUUCAUUCUUUGUUGCAUUCACCACUGUAGUAGCUCUAAGCCUACAUUCACCACUAUAACAACCGCACAUGUUGUUGCAUACCUGAGCCUGCAUCCAUCUCCACUGCAACACUCGCGUUCUUUACUAUGGUUGUUGCAUUCUUGCACCUAUCUAGAGGAUUAUUUCAAAAUCGGGUUGUACAAAAUCUCGUAUGUAGUGCACCUAAGGCAAGAUUCCAUUGGCUGUUGAAUCUUGGAGGUGGACCACUAGUUCCCUAAUGCACCGAGCUUGUCUUUGAGGAGAGUGGAUCUACUUUAAGGACAAUGCUUAUCACACUUCAACCGACAAUCACAAUAAGUUUUUGUUUUUCUUUAUGUUCUUUGAUUGCUUGUUCUAGGUUAGAUCAAUUUCACUGUCUUCCUUAUAUCCGUAAAAUAAUAGCUUCAACACUAGUCUUGUAUCUUGACACAAGGAUGAAGAUAUUGGUAGAAACUAAUGUCCGAAGAGCCUGUAAAAGAAAGUGGUCUUGUCGCAACCAAAGUUUAUAACUUGGGUUUGCAAUCAACGUCGUAGUUGGACAUCAUCAACCUAUUGAUUCCUGAAUCAAGCAUAUUAAAAUUGAUCAUCAUUUUGAAUGUUCCAGGGAAAGUAGCUAAUAGUUCUUUCACAAUUUUCUCAUAUUUCAACUUAGGAUCAACUAGCUGAUAUUCUUACCAUGCCCAUAAGUAAUAUCUUUUGCAAAUCAAGAUUUGGCUCUAUAAUGAAAGCACCAUUUCGCAGCAGCAUAUAACAAAAGUAGCAAAUUCCAAUAAUUAAGCUUAAUCAUGAUAGGCUUGAUACUUGUCAUUCUCAAGUCUUUAAUUGGGAAAGUGAUUGUAAUAUUAGGUGUAUGAUAUUAUGUAUUAUAGGGUGUAUACUUGUCAUUUUCAGGGUAUUUUGUGAUAUUAACAAAUGAGAAAACUACAUGACUGCCACAUAUUACAUAAAUACAUGUGUAUCAAGUAGUUGUUCAUUCAUUUGAUGCACACAUUGACCAUGUUGAAUAACGCGAUUCUUAUUUUAAGCACUAAAAUUCUUAUGAUAUCCAAACGUAUAUACGCCUUAGGUGUGUCUACAUACACCCCACCAAUAUGAGCAAUUAUAUUUGGUAUAUAUAGAGAGUUGGUAUGUAUUAAUAUUAGACAAAAGAAACAGGAUAAUUUCCACUUUUUGACUUGGAGAUCAUCAACCUCACCAAGAGUGGGUAUCCUUCACUAUCAACCCAUCCACAAGCUCCUUUUUUUUUUUUUUUUUAUCAAAUAUGAGUCAGCUAUAUAUCUUUUGAUUAGCAUCCAAGUAUAUAUGAUGUGUGAUAGGUUUUGAAAAAUUAAUUUAUUAGCUUAUGCAAAUUGAUAUAUAGAUAAAUGAUGGCUACAGUAUGAUCACUUUGGGAAUAAAUAAGAUUAAAGCCAUGUUGUUUUUUAUUGAUGGAAAUUAAUCUGUGAUGCGAUAGGGUCAAUUAAUUGCGGAGCACACCUUGUAAAUCUCACCCUCAGUGCUAGUCGAUUACUACCCAAAAAGUACUUUUCUAUAGCUUAAAACUAACUGUUUUAAACACUUUUGAGAAGUAGUUAAUACCUUUUAACUCAAUUGGCACAUUAAGGAACCUAGCAAGGGUUACUAAUCAGUUUUUGGCAAGUUUUGGUGUUUUUGGUAGCUUUUUUAUCAUUGAAACAAGCCAAGAAUGAGGGAGAAUUUGGUGAAAUCCAUGGCAAAGCAAGUUAAAGCUCAAAUACAUGAAGAAUCCAAGCUUUGGAGCACUUCAUAGCCCUUUUCCAAGCCAAUCCGAGAUGCAAGGAGGAAAACCAAAGGAAGAAAUCUAGCAACUAGAAUUUUUGCAUGGCUGUGCAAAAUUUCGCACACCAUGCAAAACCACUUGAGGCAACCAAAGGAUUUUGCACACCAUGCCAAAUUUCACAUGGUAUGCGAAAUCUUCCUAUGCACCGACUCCGUUAGAUUUUUAUCUUCAGAUAUUUUGUGUAAUUUCCUAGUUUCUCCUUGUAACCAACCUAGAUAUUUUAUUUUAUAUCUUUUUAUAUAUCUUUUAGGUAGCUGAUAUAUAAGGAGGGAGACAAAGGGAUGAGGGAUUAUGUAUGUUUUCAUAAAACACUUGUAAAAUUCCUGUAGUAAGAAAUAUACAGAGCUUUUGCUCUACCUUUCCUUCUCAUUUUGUUUUCAUUUUUUCUUUCUAGCCAAACAACAUCUAAGGAUGAUUUCUCAGGGGAUGAGUGGAUAGGUCUUACGUUUCUUGGAGUGAUGGAAGUUAGGUGAAGGACCUGAAUGCAAAUGUGGGAGUUGUCCUUGCUUUAAAUGACAGUAGUUGUUAGCCAUCAAUGGUUUUUAUUUCAAGGUUUAACUUUAAAUCCCUUAAAAUCCCCUUGAAUGGCCAAUACUUAGUAAGCUUUUCGGAUUCUAUAGAUGCUUAUUACUAGAUCCAUGGAUGUCUAUUAGUUAUCAUUUACGAGCCAUUGGAAGGUGGUUCAAGGUGAAAGUCUUUAGUGUUUGAAGCCAUUAAUGGGAAGCAAUUACCAUUUCUCAUGAAACCUUUGGAUCAAAUCUUAAUUGCUAAAUAUAAAACCGGUUCGGGAGAUAACCAUCCUUUAUGUAAUUAUCCCCAACGCGAUGAGAAGAUCCGGAAUCUCUCCCUUUGCCUAAGGAACCCAAUCCUAGUGACCUACAGCUCCAAGAAACCUUUUCUUUGUAGUUAAUUUCACCUAUUGUUUUUUCUUAACUUAAAAUCAAUCUUUGCAACCACAAUUCCAUUUUCUUUAAAAGCUAACUUUCAUAAGAAAAAACAUCAUUUUAUUUCCUUCAUUUAAGUCAGUUGUACGAUGAAAACCCAUCCAUGUGGACGAUCCUAGAGCCACUAUACUAUGUUAGCUAUGCUACCCUAGUGUAAGGUGAUUUAGGUUUUAUAAAUUUUAUUGAUAACACCCGUCUGAGCCAGAAUCAAAUGGCAUGACUGCAAUGGGGACGAAUCACCAGUCUUGAUGCUAAUGUUACUCAUCUUCACCAUGGACCUUCCAAACUCCACGUUGAGUUCAAUGCCUAUAAGCCUCUGAUGCCUAGGAAGCGUUGCGCGUAGUUCCUGGUGGAGACAUCUUCCAACAACUUCUGAUCCAAUUGCAGGAUUCCUCGCCCACUCUUCAGGUUUUUAAAGAAAGAGGCGUCGAAGGUGUUGGGGCUACUAGUGUCUAGUGCAACACGUCGACUUGCAUCACCAUUUUGAGGGCAAAGUGCUUGUAGUUGAGGAAUGAAGGCAGGGUCAAUGGAGGGGUCAACACCAUUUCCAGUUGUAGUGUUGAAGUUAUAGAGUCUGUCCUUGAAGAAUUGGCAUGCUGAAGUUCCAAUAGCGUGACCGUUUGUAAUGUAUUCACAUAUGUGUAUCGAGUUAAUUUAGGUAUAUAGACUCUGGUGAAGUAGAGCUAAGAAAUUAAGCUAAGUUGAAUAAUUAUGAGUUUGAUACAAAGGUUCUUACCAACAAGAGAAACAAGAUCUUGAUCAUUGAGACCUUGUCAGUGAACCUCAGCUUUUGGAGUUCAAUGGAGUCACGGGAGGCUGGCAAAUUGGCAGUCUCAAAUGCUAAUGAAACACAAUCGUCUCUCCGCCUUGUGGGCACCUUCCAGCUUGCUCCUUUGGUCUAUGUAAAACAUUGGAGCAGCAUAAGUAAUAAGAAGGCAUACAUAAGGCAUUGAAUAUUGUAAUAUGAGGAGAUCUGCCAUCAAUCAUGUAUAUAUGCAUACUAGAAGGAUAGCAUCACAGGCAGCAAGUGUCAUGCCCCAAAACCUACUCCAAGGGCAUGAUGGGCAUUUCAUAGUUCAAGCCCACAGGCUCAAAGGGCACAAACAUUCAUAUUGUAACUGGAAAUUUACCAAUUACCAAAUUCAUGUUCAGAGUAGUAGGACAAAAUUCUAAAAUCUCCAAGUAUCAACUUUAAAAAAAACUAACACAUCGACCAAAGUGUUAUUGUCCAAAUAACUCUAAAUUCAAGUGAUUUAAACGGGAAUUAAAUUUUAACAUCUAAACAAUGUCCAAAAUAAAGUUUAAACCAAAAUCUUAACAAAGAAAAAUUCCCCAGCCUAGCCAUCACUCCUUGCCUAAAUUGAGAGUACUUGAAAAAUUAUCAACGAAGGGACAUGAGUUUAAAGCUCAAUAAGGAACAUCAAUGUAGUUUCAUGGAUCAAACAUUUUCAAUCAUGCUUGCAAAUAGGAAAUAUAACAUAUACGUAUUUUCAUAAAAACUUUUGAGUUCAAAAUACUAAUACAUUCAAACUUUUCAACAAAACUUUCUCAUAUCCAUUUCAAAACAAUUUCUCAUCAAAACCAAAUCAAAUACAUUCAAAAUAUCUUUACUCUGGUUAUCAUAUGACAAAUGGUGCCCAAUUAGGUGGGACUUCACAAUUGAGUAACCAGUUUCAAACUUGUUCCAUUUAAGGUGAACAAAACCAAAUGUCAACAAUUAUAUAACCCGUUGACUAGGGCCAUAUAAUAUCAACUAUUAUAACCUGUUGAUUAGGGUCGAAUAUGUCAACAAUUAUAACCCGUUGACUAGGGCCAUAGAAAUGUCAACAACUAUAGCCCAUUUACUAGGGUCAUAGAAACCAGAGUCAAACACUUAAUUUCACUAAUUCAAACUUGCAAAACAAAAUAUCAUAUCUUCAAAAAUUUUCAAUUUUCAUAAACAAAUAAAAUUCUAAAAUAUAUUUUCCACACAAAACACAUAUUUGAUCCAUGCGAAAAGAUAAAAAUAAUAUUUUUACACAUUUCAAAAUAUAAUAUAAAAAGUAAAUUAUUUUAUUUUAUAAAAGUUCGCAUUAAUUUCCCUUACCUUGAAGAAGCACUCAAAAUUUUGAAGUAUUUAAUUCUGAAAAAUUUCCUUCUCACCUAACAUAAUAUCAUACACAAUAUUGAUUAUUGAUUAUUUAUUUAAAUACAUAAAUUUGAAAAUCCUAAAAAUAUUUCAUUUAGUAUUAGGGAUCCUAAUUAAUUUCUCAUGCUAAUAUUAUUACUACCCAAUAUUAUUUUUUAACUUACUAAACAAUAAUAAAUUAAUUUAGUGAGUUUCCAAAUUAUUGUAAAAUUUAUUUUCUUUCCUAAUCUUACCCUCGCUAUUUUUUCUUUAUAUACUUAAAUUAAAUUAAAACCUAUAAAGGAAACUAUUAUUAUUAUUAAUAUUUCAUUUGUUAGCUUAAAACUAAAUAUUAUAAUUUUUAUUAAUUUUCAAAUUCAAUACAUAACCAACCCAUUACCCCCCUAUCUUCAUUACAAGCACAAAGCCCUAAGAAUAAAACAGUAAACCUUAUGUUUCUUUUUAUUAUUUUUUAUUAUAAUAAUAUAUUUACAUAAACAAUCAUUUCCAAUGCCUAAGUCAACACCUUGGCAACACGCGCAUACUCCCUUUUUUGUCUUUUUUUUAAUCCCACGACAUUGUAAAGUGCCACCUCCACGCCUCUCAUUAUAUUUAUUUUUUUAUUUUUUAUUUUUCACACAGUAUAUACAUCUACACGUGUUUUUUUUUUAAAUCUAAAGCCUACACAAACGAUUUAUUUAUUUAUUUUCUAAAUCUAAAAUUUCUUUUCUUCCAUUGAUUUUGUUUUUUAUUUAAUUGAAAUUUUCCUAUUUUUAUCACAAAUUAAUCCACAUUCUAAAUUUACAGUCUUUUGAUUUAAAAAUUAAUUUAACAAACCCUAAUCUAGAUUGAGAUCUUCCAAAGAAUAUCUAAAGUUUUUAAAACUAAUUAACGAACAUAAAAUAUUAAUUUAAAGAUUAAAAUCUUACUUGAAAAAUUGAACUUCAACCCUAAGCCUCCAAAUCUUCAACCCUAUGCUCCUGAUCUUUCUGAUUUCUAUGUAAAAGGGUUUUCUGAAUAGAGAAGAUAGGUAAAAGCUAAUUUAUAUCUAGGAAUUUUAAAUACAAAAAGACCUUUUUAUCCUUAUUUAAUUACUUUAAUUAAUUAAUAAUUUUUCAAUUACGAUUUUAUCCCUAAAUUGGGUUUGGGGCAUUACAGCAAGAGCAAGAAUAUCAGCGCAUGAGACCAUUCCAGGACAGGCGGCUUCCAGCCGGGUCAUGGCAUCAUCAAUUAUUUCAUAUCCUCUCAACAGGCUGUUGGGUCCGGCAGUUCUUUCAAAGGAAAAGUAUGCAGUAUUUUAAUUAUACUUUUUACCCAUUCCUUCUCUUUUAUGUAUUAAUCUUUAUCUUUUGACAAAAAAUAUAUAUAAACCAACAUUAGAUGAAUAAAAUAAUUAAAUCAGAAUGCAUGAUGGAAAGUUAUAAGUUCAUGUUCUUUCAUUGACGGAAAGUCAAAUGUUGAAAUUCUCAAAUCGGCUUUGAAGUAGCAUUUGUUAUAAAUAACGUUUAAUUAAUUUAUUUAAAAAUUUUGAAUUCAUUUUUUAAUUGUUAAUUGUUAUGAAUAAUCUUUAAUUAUAUAAAAGAUAGAAAGACUUUUAAAAAUAAGAGAUUUGAUGUUAAAAAUUAAUAUUUUAAAAGAUAAGGAGAUUUCAAGUAUUUGAUGGUUUAGGGAACUAGUGAAUUGACAAAAAAAAAAGUUAUAAAAAGUUACUUAAUAUUAUAUUAUGAAGUCCUAUUUAUUAAUUAUAUUAUUUUAUAUAUAUAUAUAUAUAUAUAUAUAUAUAUAUAUAUAUAUAUAUAUAUAUAUAUGUAUGUAUUUUACCAAUUAUUAUUUUAUAUUUCCUUGAUUUUUAAAGGAUUUUUAAAAAUAUUAUUAUCUUAUACAUUUAACUAGGUUAUUAAGUUAGCACACUAAUUCAAGUCUGGACCAAAAGAUUUUAUUAUUUAAGUUUAUUAAUUUAUUAAACAUUCAUUUAUUGAGGUUUUACUAUGUAUAGAAAAACUCGUUUAAACAAACACAGAAAUGUUAGAUUACGUGGAGACAUGAGUUUUAUAAAAUAUUAUACUAUCCAUAUAUUAAAUUAUUUGGGUCUUUUCAUUUAUUUAUGAUAAACUCAAUAGAAGAAGUUAUCAACAAUCCAAUCAGCAGGAUGUCCUUCAUUCGCAUGGUACUUGGAAGUACACUAAUGAAGAUAACACCAAGCAGAUGAACUUCUAUCGACUUUAAUCUAGAUCCCAGCUACAUGUGGGUAUGGCAAACCCAUCCACCAACUCUAUUUGAUUAUUUGGAAGUGAUGGAUGAGAAGUUGAACUAACAACACAAAGCUCUUUCCAAUCCCAACAACUCAGCUCAGGUCCCCAUAAUCUCCCAAACGCUGCAUCACAUAAGCAGUAUCCCUCAUCUAUAAAGCCCCAAAGCCAACCCUUGUAUGCAAACCAUUCUCAGAAGAAACUUCUACCCUCAUUCAAAACUCUCUAGUCUUUUUUAGCUAUUCAGAAAUGGCUCGUCACCAUGAACCAUCCAUUCUGUUGCCUCUGCUGCUCAUCACUCUGUUCCUAAUGAGUGGCAAAGAAGUUCUUGCAUCUCGUCACCUUCUCGAAACCACACUGCCUACGGUUCCGGAGCUUCCUAAGGUAGAAUUGCCACCUCUUCCUACACUCCCUACUUUGCCUAAAUUUGAACUGCCACCUCUUCCCAAGGUUGAGCUUCCACCUCUGCCUCAUGUCCCAACUCUACAAGAGCCCCAGCUGCCGACUUUGCCCAAGCCUGAAUUGCCAACCGUUCCACAUGUCCCAGCUUUGGAGAAGCCUGAACUGCCUAAGCCCACACUGCCUACCAUCCCAACCCUUCCAAAGGACAUACCCUUCCCUUCUCUUUCCCCACCCCACUCAACCACUAGCCCUUGAGCUUUUCCAGUGCUGAGUUUCAUAUCAUUAUCGCAGUCUUACUAGUUUUUCGGAUGGACUAGAGAUUAAUAUGGGAAGGAAUCCUUAAAAGCCAGGGUUGCACCCUGGCUCAUAUGUAUGUGGACUCUGUUUUCUUUUAUAGUUUUCUGUUGGCAUGUACUGAUUUGUGAUUGUGGUUGAUUUAUGAGGGGGCGUCUGAUGUGUGGAACUGGGUUCUGUUUGAAGUUACUUGUAUACUCUCAUGGUUGUUAAUUAUUUAUGGUUCAGCUCUUGAUUAGAUGCUCAUAAUAUCCAGAACAAAAUUGAUCAAUUAAUGGAGCGGUUUGCAACAGCCCAGGGUGUGUUUGGGCAUCCCCAUCACCCAAUUGUUGUCAUGAAAGGGAGGCACAAACCAUUAAAUGAUAAUGAAGCCCUGAUGACUAUCUUGUGAGAAUAAUAGUUUAAUAAUAAUAACAAGAAUUAUCACAAUUAUUUCAUUUCAAAACCAGCAACUUAUUUAUAGGGUGCAACCACUGUUUUAUUUGUUGUGGUCUCCCAUUACUAUGUCUACAUUCACACUUCCACUGGCAUAAUAAAUGGUAUAAAAGUUUCCUCAUACUCAGUAAUUUCAAACUAGCGGGUAAGCAUAUUUAGCUCACAUCUCAAAGGACGUGAGUGAAAAUUGCAUGUACUUGAUAUGGAGAUUGCUACAUCUCUUUCCUUCGAGACUUGGUUCAAGUUUAAGGUUAGUAGUGUUUCACUCAUAAUUGUUUUUUAAAAAUUUAUAUUUUGCAAUUUUUUUGUAUGUAAAUGUUCUUAAUAAUUUGCAAUGCUUUAGGAUUUUAAUAUAAAUUAAUUAAGAUUAAUGAAUAAAACAACCAAAUCUAUUCACAACCAAUGCCAAUCUUUUUGCUAAUGAUUGAUGUAAUCAUACUUCAAUUUAAAAUUUGUGUCACUAUAACCAUUAACACUUAUAAGGUAGGCAUAUAUGGGAUCUAUAUUUUUUAUUCUAAUUUUUUAGUAGAAUCAAAUAUUUGAUAAAGUCCUCGUAUGAAUUCAAGCAUCCUAUAAACUAUCAUAUAUAACUUCUCUUCAUAGACAUGUCUAUUUCACCAAACCUCUCUCUGAGACGGUGCCUAGAUUGUUACUCCUUUCAUGCAGGUUGGAACUAACAUGACAAGGAAUUUUGCUACCUUAGGAUCGUUAUAGUUAUGACCGCUGUUCACUGGGGCUUUGGUAGCCAGCUCCCUUGUCAUCAAGUCACCAACUUCCUUGACCUUUUAGCAUUAGGUAGGUGUCAACCCCCAUACAUGGUCUUACAACUUUGUCAAUACUUAUGUUUUUGGUAAACAGUUGCCCAAGCCUAGUCACUACGUCCCCUUUAUGGGGAGGUACCCCUUCUCCCAAAGUUAGAUUUGAAAAUUGAAGCUUAUCAUUCAUAUUGUAUUAAUUUCCAACAUUAUUAUCAAACUCAUAAUCAAUCCCUGAAAAUCGAAACUUAUUAUUCAUAUUGUAUUAAUUUCCAACAUUCUUGUCAAGCUCAUAAUCAAUCCCUAAAAAUCAAAACUUAUUAUUCAUAUUGUAUUAAUUUCAAACAUUUUUAUCAAGCUCAUAAUCAAUCCCUUUCACAAAUUACAAAAAUUGGUCUCUUUACUUGGAGGAUGACCUUUUAAGAAUGUCCAAUAAAAGAAGUAAAUUAUAAUUAUCAAGCUUAAUUACAAUAAUCUUGAUACUUAUCAUUUUUGAGUUUUUAGAAAAAUAAUUGUAAUACAUAUGUAAUUAUUUAUUAUUCAUUUAGAUUCUAGAUUGAUACAAUUAUUUAUAUAAAUGAUUUUUAAGAAUCAAAAUCUUUCUCUUCUUUUCUUGUUAAACAAAUUUUUAUUAUUAUUUACAAUGAAGAAUCAGGGUAUUUUAUGAUAUUAGCAAAUAAAAAAACUAUAUGAUUGCCACAUUCAUACAUACAUACAUAUAUGUGUAUCAAUUAGUUUACUACAAAAAAAAUUAAGUCUUACCGAUCCACUUAGAUUUACUUUUGGGACGGAUUUAAACUAUUGUAAAUUUUUAACACAUCUACUCUAUCACAAAUUGAAUUAUCUGUUACUUAUAUAUAUUUAUUUAUUGAUGAUAAUUACAAUACCAAAUACCUGUCGACAAAAAUAUUAUUGUAAUGGAUUUAAACCAUUACAAAUGUUCAACUAAUAUAAUCUAUCACAAAAGAAAUUUACUUGUAAAAAAAUAAAAUAAAAAGUGAACUUUUAUAAACACUUUUUUCAAUGAAAAAUACUAUUCACUAAAACAGUGUUAUUAUAGUGGAUAAUAAUACGACACAUAAAUUAUUCUAAAAGUAAUUGUUGUUUUAUGAAUAUACAAUAUUUUUACCAUAGUUUAUGAUAAAUAUGAUCUAGCUAGUGAUAAGACAAUUUGAUGAUUAUUUUUUUGGUUUCAUACAAUAUUUAUAAAGAAUAUAUAUAUAUAUAUUUUUUUUAAUGACAAUAGUUUUAGCAUUUUAAUAUUUUUAAUAUUUUUGUAACUAUUUUUUUUUUUUUGGUUUAGUGGAAAUAUUUUCAAAUUUUAAAUAAUUUCUUGUUAAAGGAUAUAUAUAUAUGAUGAUGAAUUUUUAUGGAUGUAUUGAGAAAUAUUGGUGGAUUUUCUGAUAUAAAAUAUAAGUAAGAUAAAAAUUGGAGAAGCUUGAACUGCCAGAAUUGCCUCCUGUGUCCCAUCUCCCUGACCUGCCUAAGCCCACACUACCUACCAUCCCAACCCUUCCAAAGGACAUACCCUUCUCUUCUCUUUCCCCACCCCACUCAACCACUAGCCUUUGAGCUUUUCCAGUGCUUAGUUUCAUAUCAUCAUC